rnacentral:lncRNA from 1 species
GGUCUAAAAUGAAUACUUUAGACCUCGGGUUUAAUAAUCUCCAAGGACCGCUCCCAGUUCCGUCAUCAGUGUCAAUCUAUUCCUAUCUAGUUUCAAACAAUCAGUUGACAGGGGAAAUUCCAAUCCAAAUAUGCAGUUUGAAUGGUCUUCACGCUCUUGAUUUGUCUUACAACAACUUAAGUGGCAUGCUCCCAGAAUGUUUCGGUAAUUUCAGUGUUGAGUAGUCAGCAUUAAAACUGCAAGCUAACAACUUUUAUGGAAUCAUCCCUCAAACCUUCAUGAACGGAACAAAUCUGAUGAUGAUUGAUUUUAGCGACAAUUCAUUGCAAGGAAGAGUACCUAAAUCUCUAGCCAAUUGUGUGAAGCUAAAAUUUCGUAAUCUUGGGGAUAACCAAAUCACCGAUGUCUUCCCUUCUUGGUUGGGAACUCUUCCAGAGCUAGAGGUUCUCAUUUUGAAAUUCAACAACUUUCAUGGAGAAAUAGAGGAACCUCAAACAGGUUUUGAGUUUCCCAAACUACGCAUCAUUGAUCUCUCUCACAACAGGUUUACAGGUAAUCUUCCGUCAAAGCACUUCCACUGUUGGAAUGCCAUGAAAGAUAUCAGAGCAAGUAAGCUAACAUAUUUGCAGGUUAAACUGGUGCCGUAUGAUGUACUUGGGUUUACCUACUAUGGUUAUGCUGAUUACUCCUUAAUAAUGAGUAACAAAGGCACAGAGAUAGAAUAUCCCAAGCUGUCAAAUUUGAUCGCAGCAAUUAUUCUCUCGGACAACAAUUUUGUUGGAGAGAUUCCAACAUCAAUCGCCAGUCUAAAGGGGCUUCGGACUCUUAACCUUUCCAACAACAAUCUCCGAGGGUACAUUCCAUUAACUUUGAGUAACCUAACGGUCAUAGAGUCAUUAGACCUCUCUAGUAACAAGCUCACAGGACAAAUUCCUCAGUGUUAAGAUAGUCAAAUUGAGAUUAGUCACAUGCUGGUUUAAAUAGUUAGUUAAACGGAAUCUGUUAUACAUGUUGAUGUGGCUGCUUAUGUGGCAAAUUAGUUCAGUUACUAGCUCAGCUGUUUUGCAUGUAAACAGAAUGUAGAAUAUUCCAGAUCGUAGUAUAUAAACANNNNNNNNNNNNNNNNNNNNNNNNNNNNNNNNNNNNNNNNNNNNNNNNNNNNNNNNNNNNNNNNNNNNNNNNNNNNNNNNNNNNNNNNNNNNNNNNNNNNNNNNNNNNNNNNNNUAUCAGGAGGCCAGAUUCUAAUUGGCUGGUUUUAACUCAAAUCAAAAUACAACAUCCUCAUUUACAUUUACCUCGCCAGUUAAACUUGAUAGAACAAAUUACACAAUCUGGAAGUCUCAAAUUCUCACUUCAGUUCGUGCUAAUGGCCUUGAAGAUUUUCUCGACAACUCAAAACCUUGUCCAGAACAAUUCUCAUCUGAUGGAGUUAUAAAUUCUGAUUCUGAUGCAACUGAGAUCACUGUUGCUGAAGGAGUACGAGAGAAUCCAGCCUUUGCUAUCUGGAAACGAAAAGAUCAGAUGCUGCUGAGCUGGCUGAUGUCUGCUAUUAGUCUAGAGAUUCUCAGUCUGGUGGUAAAUUCUAAAACCUCACUUGAAAUUUGGAUUAGUCUUGAACAACAGUUUGGAUCUGAAACUUUUGCUAAAAAGGUGCAUCUGAAAAUUAUGCUUAACAAUCUUAGAAAAGGAGCUAUGUCCAUGACUGAAUUUUUUGGAAAACUAAAGACAGUUACUGAUGAACUUGCUGUGGCUGGUAGUCCUGUUAGUUCACUAGAUUUUCUUACUCAUUUGAUCAGUGGAUUAGGCCAGCCUUAUUAUCCAGUGGUAGUAUACAUUGAGGCAAAUCUUGCUAAGAUGUCUAUAAAUGAAGCCUAUUCUAUGCUUCUGACUCAUGAGGCUAGAUUAGAGGCUAAUCAGUUGAACUCUAGUAAAGAAGCUAAAAUGAAUUUUGCAGCUAAUGUUGCUCAAACUGGACAGAACACUAAAUCUGGACAGUAUAAUGCUAAUUGGAACAAAAAUCAAAAUGGUAAUGGUAAUGGAGGCAGAGGAGGUUUUGGUAGAGGUUUUUCACAGGGUCAAGUAAGAGGAAAUUGGAAUGGUAAUUGGAAUAAUGGCUGGAAUGGAGCAUCACCUGGUAACUAUCAAGGCAGAGGUGGUUUUGGUUCUGGAAAUGGAAAUUUUGCAAAACCUGGUGGUUUUCCUAAUAGUAAUGGGAGAGGUAGUUCUGAUCCUAACUCUGCUGGAGUAAUCUGUCAAAUCUGUUUCAAACCUAAGCACACUGCAGCUGAGUGUAGAAAUAGGUUUAAUAGAGAGUUCAUACCUUUCAACUCUUCAUUUGGAUAUAACUCAUAUCAGUAUCAAGUACCAAGACCUGCAUAUGCUAACUCAGCACCUAGAGCUGCUUUUGUGGCUGCCUCUGAAGGUGAUUUUGCUGAUCAAGGGUGGUACAUAGACAGUGGUGCAACUCAUCACCUCACCAACAAUCUACAGAAUCUGAGUCUUGCAAAGGAAUACUCAGGUAAUCACUUGUUGCAUGUUGGCAAUGGUCAAGGGCUGCAUAUAUCACAUGUUGGUUACACUGAUCUUCAUACAUCAUUAGACUCCAUCUUACACUUAAAAGAUAUUUUGUUUGUUCCUCACCUUACCAAAAAUCUUAUAAGCAUCUCAAAGCUACUUGAAAACAACAACUUAACUAUUGAAUUUGUUGCCAAUAUGUGUUUCAUUAAGGACCAGAAGAAGGGAGUGCAUCUUGCUCAAGGGAUUGCUAGAGGAGGGCUAUAUCAGUUACUGUCAAAAAAGGAUUUCAUUUCCAGUUCUCACAGUCCUUCUCAGAUUCCUAGUUCCAUGCUUUCUGUUUUGAAUAAUUCAGCUUGUAAUCUCUUAGAUGAAACUACAAAUAAAACCUGUACAAACAAUAUUUUGUCUGCAAAUUUGUUGCACCAAAGGUUUGGUCAUCCAAGCAAACAUGUGUUAAAAUGUAUUCUAUCUUCUCUUUCCCUUCCUUGUCUAACAUCAAUACCUGAUUUUUGUGAUGCUUGUCAAUAUGGUAAAAUCCAUCAGUUCCCUUUUUACUCAACAGGAAUAAAAACAAAAGCUCCUUUAGAGCUAGUCCAUACUGAUCUCUGGGGUCCAGCACCCAUGCUUUCACUACAGGGUUAUAGAUACUACAUAAGCUUUGUAGAUGAUUAUAGUAGGUAUUGUUGGAUUUUUCCUUUAACCCUCAAAUCUGAAGCCUUAGCUACUUUCAAACACUUCAAAACCCUUGUUGAGAAACAAUUUGAUCAUCCUUUAAAGUCACUACAAUCUGAUUGGGGAGGUGAAUACAGAAAUUUUGUACAUUUCCUUCAAGAAGAAGGCAUAGAGUUUAGACAUAGUUGCCCUCAUACACAUCACCAAAAUGGUGUGGUAGAGAGGAAGCAUCGCCAUAUUGUAGAAACAGGGCUGACUUUACUUGCUCAGGCAAAAAUGCCCUUAUCUUUUUGGUGGGAAUCAUUUCAUACAGUUUCUUUUCUUAUCAAUAGGUUGCCAACACCUAUUUUGAAUAAUACUUCUCCUUAUACCAAGCUCUAUGGCAGAAAGCCUGAUUACCAUUUCCUCAAAACCUUUGGCUGUUCAUGCUUUCCUUUUCUCAGACCUUACAGUCAGCACAAGUUUAACUUUCAUACACGAAAAUGUCUCAUGAUUGGUUAUAGCCCUCUUUACAAAGGCUAUAAGUGUCUUGAUUCUACUGGCAAAACUUAUAUUGCCAGACAUGUUAAGUUUAAUGAAUCUGAAUUUCCAUACUCCAAUCUUUUUCCUUCAUCAGAUUCAAAUGUGUCCUCAGUUCAGCAAAGUCAUUUUUCUAGUCCAUUCAUUUCUUCCAACAUCCUACUCAAUGACAGUAACUGUGCACAGCCUUCUCUACAUCCUCCAGCUCAGGAUGCAGGCCCUGAUUCAGGUAUCUUACAGACACUCUCUUCAUCUCAUUCUUCAGACACACCUCUUCAUGCAGUACACCACAUCAACCAUCUCUUUCUAUUCAGUUACCAUCAGUAUCUACUCUUGCACCUCAACCAACUCAAAAUAUCCAUCCCAUGCUCACCAGAUCCAAAGCUGGUGUUUUUAAGCCCAAAACUUACUUGGCUGUUACUCAACACCUUGAACCACAUUCAGUUAAAGCAGCAUUGGCUGAUUUCAAGUGGAAACAAGCUAUGCAGGCUGAGUUUGAUGCCUUGCAGAAAAAUAGCACCUGGAUUUUAGUUCCUAGAGAAAAAGCUGGAAAAAUUGUUGGCAACAAAUGGGUUUUCAGGGUGAAGUAUAACCCUGAUGGUAGUAUAUCCAAGUAUAAAGCAAGGUUGGUGGCCAAAGGCUUCCAUCAAACACAAGGAGUAGACUUCUUUGAAACAUUUAGUCCAGUUGUAAAGCCUUGCACAAUAAGAAUCAUUCUGAGUCUUGCUGUCAUGAAUCACUGGCCAAUUCGACAGCUGGACAUUAAUAAUGCUUUCCUUAAUGGCAUUCUUACUGAAGAGGUCUUUAUGCAUCAGCCUGAAGGUUUCAUUCAUCCUCAAUUUCCAUCUCAUGUCUGUAAGCUUACCAAAGCUCUCUAUGGUCUUAAGCAAGCUCCAAGAGCUUGGUAUGACCGAUUGAAACUCUCUCUGUUGAAUUGGGGUUUCAUUGCUUCAAAAUCUGACACUUCAUUGUUCAUUUUUCACAAAGCAAGGGAUAUAGUUGUUAUUUUAGUUUAUGUGGAUGACAUCUUGGUGACUGGUUCUAAUGUUCAGCUUGUUGAAAAAGUUAUUCAGCAUUUAAGCUCAGAGUUUGCUUUGAAGGAUCUGGGGGAAUUCAACUACUUUCUUGGUCUUGAGGUUACACCUUCAGUUGAAGGUUUACAUCUUUGUCAAACAAAAUAUGUAGGUGAUAUUCUUAAGAAAGCACAGAUGAUUGAGAGCAAAGGCUGUUCCACUCCAAUGAGUUCUACAGAGAAGCUAGUCAAAGAUAAGGGUGCUUCUUUUGAAAAUCCCUCUCUCUAUAGAAGUAUAGUUGGCUCAUUACAGUAUCUUACUCUUACUAGACCUGAGAUUGCCUUCACUGUAAAUAAGCUAAGUCAGUUUCUUGCCAAUCCAUCAGUGCUUCAUUGGCAAGCAUGUAAAAGAGUUCUGAGAUAUUUGCAAUGUACAGCUGAUCUUGGUUUACAGUUUUAUGCCUCUGGUUCACUCACACUUUCAACCUUCUCAGAUGCUGAUUGGGGCUCAGAUUUAGAUAAUAGAAAGUCAGUUGGGGGAUAUUGCAUUUAUCUGGGGAAUAAUCUGAUCUCAUGGUCAUCUAAGAAACAACCUAUAGUCUCAAGAAGCACAGCUGAGUCAGAAUACAGAGCAUUAGCAUUGGCUGUCUCUGAAACUUUGUGGAUCACUAACUUGCUGCAAGAGUUGAAAGUACCUUUAUUACAAACUCCAGUUAUCUACUGUGAUAACAAGAGUGCAGAAGCUUUAGCAAGUAACCCCAAGUAUCACUCCAGAACCAAACAUAUUGAGUUAGAUUUACACUUCAUUCGGGAUCAUAUAGCUCAGAAAGAACUGCAGAUCAGUCAUGUUCCCAGCUAUGAUCAAGUGGCAGACAUUUUUACAAAACCUUUAGCUUUUGAUCAAUUUAACUAUCUCAGGUCCAAGCUCAAUGUGCUUACACGACCUUGAGCUUGAGGGAGGCUGUUAAGAUAGUCAAAUUGAGAUUAGUCACAUGCUGGUUUAAAUAGUUAGUUAAACGGAAUCUGUUAUACAUGUUGACGUGGCUGCUUAUGUGGCAAAUUAGUUCAGUUACUAGCUCAGCUGUUUUGCAUGUAAACAGAAUGUAGAAUAUUCCAGAUCGUAGUAUAUAAACAUGUGUAACUAAUCAAAUGACAGUAUGAAUAAUAUACAAGUUCUUUCAUCUAUGCUUCUCUGAUUUUCUUUUUCAUUUUCUUAGUAAACAAACAAAUCUAUCAUUCUUAAUUCUCAGCAACUAGCAGAGCUCACAUCCCUUGCAUUCUUUGAUGUGUCACACAACCAUCUUAGGGGAGCAAUACCACAAGGGACGUAGUUCAUCACAUUCACAAAUGAUUGGUUUGCUGGAAAUCUAGGAUUGUGUGGAGAACCUUUGUCUAGAAAAUGUGGAAACUCUGAGGCCUCACCAGCAGAAGAUGAUCCACCCUCAGAAUCUGUACUCGCAUUUGGCUGGAAGAUAGUUCUAGCAGGGUAUGCAAGUGGGACAAUAAUAGGAGUUGUACUUGGGCACAUCUUCUGCACAAGAAAGUAUGAAUGGCUUAUAAAGACUUUUCGACUGCAACCGGAAAGUAAUGGAAGGAGGAGAAGACAUAGGCACAGAAUGUAAUUAAUUAGCUUUUAUUUAUUUUAUGAAUUACUCUGUAAAGACUUUAAAAUUCAUGUAGAAAAUUUUCUUUUUCUUCCAAUUUCAAUAAAUCUCUUUAUAUUAUCGUUCUAUUAUUAUGAUUUCACACUUAGAGCCCAUUUGAAAUUAUUUUUGAGAGGUUUAAAGGUGAUUUUAAAAAAUUAAAAAUUAAUUUUAGCAAUUGAUAAAUUUAUUUAAAAAUCAUUUUUGACAAAACCACCUUAUCCUGUGACAGAGAGUAGCUUUUCGAAAUCUGAUUUUAAAAAUCAGUUUUAUACUUAAACAAUUUCAUAUAUAUCCUAAUAUAUGUUAUAAAAAUCCAAAAUUAUCUUUUAUUCAAUUAGGAAAUAAAAUCAUUACAUUUAAAGAAAUUAUUAUUAUUUUGAAUUAUAUUGAGAUAACAAAAUAAAUACGGUUAAUUUGUUUUAGUUACGAAUUAUUCUAUAUGCACAUAAAAUAUUACUAUAUACACAUGUUAUUAUAAAAUAAAUGCAUGGGUAAAUAAAUUUUAUAACUUUAUGUCUAAUUAAAUCAUUUGUAUUCAUACAGCAAUUUAAAAAUGAGAUUUGCCAAAUAUUAUUUACUACUUAACUAAUUUACAAAACGCCUUUAAAAAUAAAAUUUACGAAGCGUUUGACUAAUAUUUUUACAAUUUUUUCACAACUAAUUAUUUCUAUAUCACAACUAAUAACGAUUAUUUUAAAAACUAUAAAAUUACCAUUCUAGUCAUUAAUUUAAAAAAUGUUUGUAUGUAAUUGUUUGAUAAACAACCUCCGUUCACCUUCUAUUGCAUCUAAGACCAGCCUCUCAUAUGCAUCUGGUAUUUCUGUUGGAUAACUUCACAUCAAAACUAAAGAAUUAAAGUAAUUCUCUCCAAAACCAGAAGAAGAACAAAAGAUAAUACAGAUGCACAAUAGCUCCAUCAAUUUGGCCAGGUCUGCAGAUGGAUAUUACUAAGGUAACAUGGUCAGGACAUGAGAUUAAUACAGUCCACUUACUUUUAAUAUUAAUUAGGAUUUUAUACAAAUUCUUUAAAAAUAAAAAAAUUAAAGAAUUUAAUCGUUACAUGAGCCUUAAAAUAAUUACGAAACGUGAAUAAAGACAAAGGCUUAUCACUUGAGAAGAUUUUAUGAAAUUGAUGCUCACGGUCCCACUCCAUAAUUGAGUAUUCUAGGUCAUAUAUUACAGAAUGAAGAUUACAAGUAUUAUUUGUAGGUAACUGUCUAAAUGGUCUCUUACCUUUAUCGAUAAAGCAAAUUAAGGUCGCUGCGAUCCAAUCUCAUUCCAAGACUAGGAACUUUGUUGUUGAUCUUCAGAUAUAUAGCUUCAUCAGGCUGGAGUCGGAGCACAAGCUCAUUUGUAGCCUUGUCUAAGUCAGUUCCCAAAUUCCGCUUGUACAAGUUUCCAGGGACAUGUCUGAACUGAACUCUGAUCUCUGCACUGAAGUUUCAUUGACACAACAUUCUCAAGUCAACCAGUUGAGCAUAUUCUACAAUAUAAGAGAACAUGGUGAAAGAAUAGAUCCACAUGAAAAGGGAAGAAAUACUGCCUACCGUUUGGUAUGGAGUGCUUUGCCUGCUUUCAUCAGGAAAGGAACCCCAUCCCAUCUUGCAUUGUUGAUAAAAAGAACAGCCGCGGCAAAUGUUGGCGUGAGACUGUCCUUUGGCACAGUUGGGUCAUCAAUAUAAGCAGGAUAUGAUUUACUACCCUUGUUGUGGCCCUUGUAUUGACCAACAAUUACAUCUUCAAGCAGAAGCGGUUGCAUUGAUCGAAGAACCUUCACCUGAAUUAAACCACGCACAACAAAGUCAAUGAUUAACUUAAAACAAUUGCAAGGAGUGUAGCAUUUCCAUAACCCACCAUGGGAUUUGAUUCUUCUUUGAUGGUGAUGGUGGUACGUAGGUAUACCUUAAAAUAGGAUCUCUAGCAAUCAUAGAAAUGGUACACAAAGGGGACCAGGAGACCACAAUUCUAGUUUGUAAAAUUUGUAGAAGAAAAAAAAACCGAAUUACCUUUUCAUUUCUAAUGUCUUCUGCAUCUAAGCUGACGGGAGUCUCCAUUGCAAAUAAUGCCAGUAUUUGCAAGAGUUGAUUUUGCAUUAUAUCUCGUAUGAUUCCAUAGUUAUCAAAAUAACUGGAAAGAUUUACCAAAAAAUCAGCUGAUCUGGGUGUCUGAAACAAUUUCUAGUAUAAUAACAAUAUCUUCAGGCAACAUAUACAACUCACCCCCCUCAUCUCUCUGUUCCAAAAUCUUCAGAAAAUAUAAAUUGUACAUUGCGGAUGUAAUUCCUGGACCAUAGAGGCUCAAAAACAAGAUUGGAGAAUCGAAGCACUGAUAGAUUCUCAACCAGCUCCUUACCCAAGUAAUGGUUAUCCUGAAAGGAUAUCAAUACAGUCAAACAUUAUCCCACAUGUCUUUCUUUAAGGAAGCAAAUGAGAGUCAAACCUGAAUAUUUGAUCCUCUCUUAGAUUCUGCUUCANNNNNNNNNNNNNNNNNNNNNNNNNNNNNNNNNNNNNNNNNNNNNNNNNNNNNNNNNNNNNNNNNNNNNNNNNNNNNNNNNNNNNNNNNNNNNNNNNNNNNNNNNNNNNNNNNNNNNNNNNNNUGUUUGGAGGUAAUGUUUUGGAGGUAUUGAUAAGUAAAAUAACCUAUUCGAUAGCUUUCUAGCCCAAAAUACCAUUUUCUUACACUGGGUUAAAAAAAUAAAACUAAAAUAAACAAAAAUCAAAUUGGACACGGAGCUAGUUACUAGCUUCCUAAACACGAAUCUAUUUUACAAUUGGUGGAACAAUAAGAAAUAUGUCAGUUACUUGGUCCAUUACAGAGCAGAACUCCCAAUGAAUCUAGUAAUAGUUCUUAUUUGGAUUCAAUACAUUUACUAGAGACUAACAUUUACUAACGGGAUUUUACCCACACGCCCUGCCUAUUCCUCCCUCCUAGAAUUAGGGGGUAUGGAAAACUUCACUGCAAUCAAAUAACCAUUUAAUAUCCCAUGAUAUCAAAAGGAUAUAGAAACAAAAUCCCACCAAAAGAUAGUUAAUGAAAUGUUCCAUUAGUUCAAGGAUUCAAUGGCUCCAAUACUACCUAAAAUUGAGGGCGAAGUAAUUCAUAAAGGGAAAGACUCUAAACAGAGAGGGACAGUUAAUGAAGCAAAGGAGGAUUCAUUGAACUACACCAUUAAUCUGUGAGUUGAAUUAAGAACAUUUAUUAUACUUUAUUGUUUGAAAUUACUAUUGAAGCCCUUUCAUCUGAUACAAGCGUCGGAGGUUUUCUGCUGGCAAUAAUGUUGGGCCUCCGACAGUUUCUGCGUUAGCAAAACGAGAUCAGAGUCAUCAAUGGAUGGACAGCAAUUACCAUCAAUUAGCAGAGUACCAGUUUCCGACAAAUAUAAAUCUGCUUGUUGAAGCCAAAAUUUGGCACCAACAUCUCUUGCCUUCCCUGUAAUAUUUUACCGUAUCUCAAGGCUUAAGUAUCCAUUAGCAAAGCUAAUUUGUCAUGUAAUAAAGACGAUAAAAUCAACCCUUAAAACCUACUUGUUGGAGAUGCAUUAGUAGAAUCUAUGACUCCAGAGUUGCUAUAAAGCUACAAAUUUCAUAAAUGUAAAGAAGCAAUUAAUUACCUCUUUCUCUUUCAGUUUGCUGUCUAAUUCUGCAAAAUGCUCCUCAGAGUUGUACAGACCCGAAUGGUAAAAGCAUCUCUUCAAGAACUGAUCCAUUUUGUCUUCACAAUUUUCCCUGUAAGUUCCCUCCACUAUUACUAAAUACAAAAUGCAUAGGCUGCUAAGAAUUACAUUUGAGAGUUUCAUAAAAUUACAUACUUCUUAUCAAUUCUACAAGUUAAAGUUUUGCUAAUCACGUUCCUCAGAUCCUCAUCAGUCAAUUUAGUCCGAGCAUAACCAAAAACUGUAAAAUCCUGCAUAAGGAUGAUAAAUGGAAGACAAAAUGAAAACUUAUCAGCUAUUUAACAUUCAUCACGGUUGUUGAAAAAGUGAAAUUAGUGAAGCAACAAAGCAUAGAACCUCAGGCAGACAAUCUUCAUAGUAUAGUGCGAAAAGUGCGGGAAAAAUCUUCUUCUUUGCGAGGUCCCCUAAGGCUCCAACUGUUGAAUUAGCUAAUGAAACUGAAUCUCAUGCAACACACGUUGGAGUGCCAGCUGGAAUCAAGCCAGCUGUGAAUCUAGUAGCUAGCCUAGAAGUGACGGUGACAGAUGCACGUGAGAAGCUAAAGAAUUCCAGGUGGCAAAACUGUUAUGAAGAGAUUCCCAUGCAGUUAGAUGUGGCUGGAAUUAGUUGACAGUUUAGCUAUUGUUAAUUGUGUAUUUGUUAUUUUGUUAGUUAGAUUGCUAAGCAAUAAUUGGCGUGAUUAGCAAGAUUAAGAUUGAACUAUAAAUACUGAGCUAAGCUCAUAAUUGUAAAUUGAGUUCUGUGAUAAUAAAACUGAAACAGAUAUUCUUCUUCAUUUUGAUCUGUAAAAUCUAACUCCAACAACUGUUAUGUUGAGUGUAGAACCCGCUUUUUCAGAUGAUGCCGGAACGGAGGCCUCUAUCGCUUAAGGCUCGGAAUGAUCGUUGGCCAGAGGUUUUCCAGCUAAAUCUAAACUCAAAAUUGCAGCUAGAAAUCAGCAAUGAGAAACAAAACUGAUAUGCUGAAGACAAAAUCUAAUCAUUGCAAAUGAUUAUGAUUAUAUCAAUGAGCGGACAAUUUGAUAAACCCUCUUUCCAAAACCAAAUUUUCUUCGCAUACAAAUUCAUUUGGCAAUUGUCGAAAACAGGAAAAAUCUUUUCUUUUCUUUUUUUGUUAAAUAAGAUAUUCAUUUUGGACACAGUUUAUGAAUAAGCAAUUGAAUGAGAAUUAAAACCCAUCUGAUACUGAUUCGGCGUAAAAGACUACAGUAGAGGAACCAGUAUCUCACUAUCUUCCAAAGAAACAGCAUUGAAAGGAUGCCCAUUAGAGGAUUUGAGCUGAAAAUGCUUUCUAGCAUGGAUUCUUGACUGAACUUGAGAUACCCAAGCGGAGAAACAAGAUUUUCUUGGGACAACAAUGAAGUCACUGAAGAGUUGUGUCUUGUAAUGCUUCAAUGAAGGAGAACAAGGACUCAAAUAUGCAGUAGCCAUGCUCAGUUAGGGAUCAAGAAGAGUGUAGAAGUUAGGAUUGAACAAGCGUGUGCAUAUGGAUUACGUUUAUGGUUUGUGUUAUAAAGAUUGUACCUAUAAAAUAAAUUUACAAAUGCAAGUGCCCUUUUCCAUUGAUGAAGGGGCCAGUGUCCCUGAAGUUACUUUUCAUAUACUAAACAAAUCUGUUAUAUGAGGUCAAGAAUUUUUCCUUUUUCUUUAUUCUUUUCUAAUUUAUAAAUUUUAAGUUUACAAGUCAACCGAGCAAAACAAAAUGUUUAUGAAACAUGCAUAGAAAAUACAAACUUGAAUUAAGAGUUAAAAUACUUCCCUAAAAGUUCUAUAAAUACAACUGACUUGUACUAGCUAUUGGAUGGUUCUUAUCUAAAUUGAAGAAAGUUUUAACUUACGAAUGUGUUUAUUUGGUGGGGGUUCUCAUACUUUAAUAAAGUAUGAAAAAGUAUGAAAAAAUUGUUAUGCUACAUUGCAAUGAUAUAUUAUAUGACAUGAUAGUUUCUUUGACACUUUAAAUAAAGUGCCAGAAUUUUCAUUGUCAAAUUAUAGUAACUUUCUCUAUUUUAUAACACUAUAUAAAUAAACGUCGCUUGUUGUUAUAAAAUUUUCAAUUAUUUUUAACUUCCCUCUUGUAUCAAUAAAUAGCUUAUUUGGUAUUAAGACAAAAGGUUGUGACUACGAAGCAAAAAUUAUUAGUGUGUUGUAAAUAUAAUUUUUGAAUAAAAAUUUUGACAAAAAUAAUAAACAUAUUAUAUAUUUUUUAUCAUACAAGUGUUAAAAUGAAUCAAAAUAAUUUUCAAACUACAGUAAUAAAUAUUCUCCAAUGACUUUAGUGCUAUAACUAAAAAGUUACAGCUAUCCAACCAUACUAUUAAAUACUAAAUAAGAUCUAAGAUUGAGUGAAAACAAAAUUAAUCAAAACCUAUUUUUCAAGAAAAAAGAAACUCCACUUGUAUCCAUUUAUAAAUUUAUGGAUAAUUAUAUGUAAUUUUUUUAGAAUUAUUUACACAAUAAAUAUAUAUAAGGUGGUCUACCUCCUUUGCAACGUGACUUUUCAUUUUAAUGAAUCGGUGAUUUUUUUCAUGGUUGAUUGAAAUUGAGGAAACGUGUUAGGUCGUUUGGGCGUUUUUGUCGCUGACUUUUUAAUUAUUGAAUUAUCUCUGGGACUUUGGGCCAGCCGUUUUAAAGUGAAUUAACUUUGCCGGGCUUUGACAGAUGAUUCGAUUUCUAUUUAGAGUUGGCCUUUCGACACCCCCUGUAAAUUUCUUGUAAAACCCUUCUUUAAAUGGAAUUUCCGAAAUAAUUAAAAAUAAAUUAAUUCUUUUUUAUUUUGAAUGAAAAUCCAAUUAAAACUCAUAAAUAAAUUAUUAUUUUAAUAAUUUUUUCACACCCAUUUCAUUUCAUUAUUUAUAUUUUAAAUUUUAAUUGAAUUUUUUUAAGAAACUUUAAAGAAUUUAAAAAAAUUGUGAAGUAGAAUUUGUGUAACAAGAUAAGAAUAAUUUAAGAUUUUAGAACUUUUAUGCAUUUACAGAUAAGAAAUAAAAAAAAAAUUCUUUUUAGGAUGAAAUUUAGUAACAAAAUGAUUGAUUUUAAUUUAUAAUUUAGUAUUUUAUGAAUUAAGUUGGAGUAUUUUUCGGGAAUAAAAUUUCGAAAGGGGUGUCAUAAAGAUUUUUGGGGUGUUAGAAGCUCCACUCGUAUGGUUAUUAGUCUACAUCAGGUUUUGGGCUGCCUUGUGUGCCCUGGCCUACUUGGACAGUCCAAUACAAAGAUUGGAUUUGUAUGUUGUAAGAGUUGCAUUUGCAUGAACCUUUUCAAUUUUGGUUGCCAUUUUUCUUAUUUUCUGUAACAACUAAUAAAAUAAAAAGAGAAAAUUGUGGUCAGAUGAAGAAUUGCUGUGUCAAAUUGUCAUUUCCAAAUAAAUAAAAUGAAAAUGAUCACAUAUUAACAUGUGACAAAUGUUAAGCUUAGUUGAAGAAGAAUCAGUUGGUGGGUUGCCAAGAAGAAUCAAAUGACUCAAAGCUAUUGUCUUUGCCUUUCUAGCUCAAAUUUUAGCUAAGGGAAACGUAGUAUCCCAAUUUUAUUUUAUUUUUCUCAAAUUUAUGCAUAAAUUAGGUGAAAUAAUUUUAAUUGGGUUCAAUAUAGUGGAUCCAUUGAGGCCUUAGUGCCCAAUUUUGCCACAGCAGAAAUUGUUCAACAACAACUACUGCAAUACAGCAGAAUUUGUUUUGAAGGAAAGGAACUAGAUUCUCUGAUCUCUUUUGCAAAAGCUGAAGCUGUUAUAGAAGCUUAUCAAAGAGUAAGGCUCACAGGAGAAACACGCAUUGACAAAAAGGUUACUGGAGUUAAGGAGAAAUGGAAUCCUCCGCCAAGUAACGUUAGUAAGAUAAAUGUGGAUGCAGCAAUUGACAAGCAAAAUCAGCAAACAGGGGUGGGAGUAGUCAUUUGAGAUUCCAACGGCAAGAGAAUGGCGGCAGCGGUCAAAAUAUCAAAACAGUGGAAGGAUGUGGCUUAUACUGAGGCUGAAUCUAUGGAAAUAGGGGCUUGAGGUAGCAAAGGAAGCUGCUAUGUCUUACCUGAUAAUGGAGAUGGAUUGCCAAGAAGUUGCUGAUUUAGUUAACUAAGAAGAAAGGGAGUAAGACUGAGAUAUUUUGGGUAAUUUCUGAAAUCCAAAAAUAGAGCAAGUGGUUCCAAGAAGUCAAAGUUCAACACGUUCCAAGGGCAUGUAAUGUCCAAUGUAAUUGACCUAUGGCUGGACCCCAUACCAGCAAACAUAGCUAUGUUUUGUCUUGUCAGUUGAAUGAGAAGAUCUUCACGUACAUGUGCUUCACGAAUGGCAAGACUAACAAUGAGAGAAGGGAACAUGUGCUUCACGAAUGGCAAGUGAAUGGACAUGAAAAACAUAUCUCGAAUUAUGUUUUUUUCCAAUUCGAAAAACAGACUUUAAGACUCGAACAGCUGUGAUUGGAUAUGCAAGUGGGCCACAUCUCCAGCAGAAGAAAGUACGAAUGGCUCAAAAAGACUUUUCGACCGCAACAGCAAACUAAUGGGAGGAAGAGGAGAUGCAGGCAAUGAAUGUAAUUAGGUUACUUGGUGUAGAAUCCAGACUCGAUCAUGAGCUUCAAUAAAUCUCUUACUACGCUAUCCUAUUAUUUUUAUGAGUUUUUAAAUUUUAUCUAAUUAAGAUCUAAACUUUGUAAUUGUAAUUUUAUAUCUGAGAGGUGGUGGAAUAGGUGCAUAAUUGUUGUGACUGAGAUAUCUAAUAAUUUACAUUGAAAUAGUAGAAAUACCAAAAAUACAAUUUUAUUUUAAAAUAUAUUUCAAUUUUUAAAAAUUGUUUUCAAAUCCUGACUAAUUUUAAAAACGAAUUACUUAUUACACAAGUCUUCUGCCCGUUUGUUCACGUACGUCUUGUUGAUCUCAAAAAGCCAAUUAUAUCGUAAUAAAAAAAAAAAGCCGAUUAUAUUUUCGGGGACGGCCACACCGUGGAACCUGACUUGCACCGGCAAGUCAUUAAGUCCACAAACGACUUUGACUUUGAGUGCUUUUCCUGAUACCACAUACUCAUACAUCCUACUGGAUAAAACUUCUCAAUUUCCACAAAUCAAUUGACUCGGAGAAAUUAAAAAUCCCAAGAAUUAUUUUACAAAAACUGCAGGUUGCCUAUAUAAAGACAACGCUGUUUUACUACCAUGCACGCAUGCAAUAAAAGCAAAAUAACUUAAAGCCAUUUUAGAAUUCCUGUUGAGACGUAAUGGGGUUAUCUUUAACUUUCUUCACAUUUAGACAUUUAGUUUUAUUUUCCUUCUUAAUAUUUCAUCUUGCAAUUGCUCACUUCAUUUCUUCUACUCAGCCACUCUGCCAUGAUCAUGAGCGUUCUGCCUUGUUGAAUUUCAAGGAAAGUCUUGUCAUUAAUCAGACUGCUUCCUCUUAUUCUUCUACUUAUCCCAAGGUUGCGACAUGGAAGCCGGAUGAAAAAAAUAGGGACUGCUGCUCAUGGGACGGUGUCAAAUGCAAUGAAGACACUGGCCAUGUUGUGGAGCUCGAUCUUGCUAGCAGUUGCCUCUAUGGUUCUAUCAACUCUACCAGCAGUCUCUUUCAGCUUGUCCAUCUGCAACGGCUUAGUCUCUUCGAUAACAACUUCAAUUUCUCUGAAAUCCCUUCUGCAAUCUUAAACUUUUCAAGGCUAACCCAUUUAAAUCUCUCUCAGUCUUAUUUUUCUGGUCAAAUACCAGCAGAGUUGCUGGAGCUCUCCAAUUUGGAGGUCCUCGACUUAUCAUAUAGUAAUUUUGAUACUUUUUAUCUGAAGCUCCAAAAGCCAGGUCUAGCAAAUCUAGCUGAGAAUUUAACCAACCUGAAAGCACUUGAUCUUAUCAAUGUCCACAUUUCUUCAACAGUUCCUCAUACUUUGGCAAAUUUAUCUUCUUUGCGUUUCUUGUCUCUCAGUGGAUGCCGUUUGCAAGGUGAAUUUCCCCAAGAGAUUUUCCAGUUACCCAACCUUCAAUUCCUUGGUGUGAUGAAGAACCCAAACCUCACUGGAUAUUUACCACAAUUCCAGAAAAGCAGUCCCCUUGAAGAUUUGAGACUUUCAAGCACGAGAUUUUCAGGUAAGAUUCCAGAUUCAAUAGAAAAUCUUGAAUCUUUAUCUUACCUGGAUAUUAGUGACUGCUCCUUUAUAGGAAAAAUUCCAUCUUCACUUGGUAACCUUACCAAGCUCGAAUAUCUAUCCCUUUCUGGUGGUAAUGGAUUUUCGAAUGAGUUGCCUACCUCCAUUGGAAAUCUUGCGUCUUUGAAAACUCUAGAAAUUAGCUCAUUCAAUUUCUCUGGUACACUUCAGGCUUCACUUGGUAAUCUUACCCAACUUGAUUCAUUGACAAUUUCAGAUAGCAAUUUUUCUGGUCCAAUGUCUAGUUCAUUGUCUUGGCUAGCUAAUCUUAACCAACUCACUUCUUUGAAAUUUCCCUACUGCAACUUAAAUAAUGAGAUCCUGUUUGCGAUCUCCAACCUAACACAACUUACUGCUUUAUAUUUGAAAAACAACCAAUUAACUGGUCCAAUCCCAUAUUCGUUGAUGAAGCUUAAAAAAUUGUCCUUUCUUUUCUUGGGAUUUAAUCAUCUGAGUGGUCGUAUUCCAGUUGAAAUUAGUAACCUAACUCAACUGCAGCAUCUGCAAUUAUCAUCGAAUCAAUUGGAAAGCUCUGUUCCAAGCUCUAUCUUUGAGCUUAGAAUCUAGAAGGCUUGACCUUUCCUUCAUAAUCUCAGUGGCACAGUGGAUCUAACAUGUUCCUUCUUAGCUUCAAACGUUUACGAUAUUAAAUCUCUCGUCAANNNNNNNNNNNNNNNNNNNNNNNNNNNNNNNNNNNNNNNNNNNNNNNNNNNNNNNNNNNNNNNNNNNNNNNNNNNNNNNNNNNNNNNNNNNNNNNNNNNNNNNNNNNNNNNNNNNNNNNNNNNNNNNNNNNNNNNNNNNNNNNNNNNNNNNNNNNNNNNNNNNNNNNNNNNNNNNNNNNNNNNNNNNNNNNNNNNNNNNNNNNNNNNNNNNNNNNNNNNNNNNNNNNNNNNNNNNNNNNNNNNNNNNNNNNNNNNNNNNNNNNNNNNNNNNNNNNNNNNNNUUAGACCUUAGGUUUAAUAAGCUGCAAGGACCACUCCCAAUUCCAUCAGCGUCAAUCUUUUCAUAUCUUAUUUCAAACAAUCAGCUGACCGGGGAAAUUCCACCAUCAAUAUGCAGUUUGAAUGGUCUUCAUGCUCUUGAUUUGUCUCACAACAACUUAAGCGGCAUGCUUCCUGAAUGUUUGGGCAAUUUCAGUGUUGCGUUGUCAGUAUUAAAAUUGCAAAGUAACAACUUUCAGGGAAGCAUUCCUCAGACCUUCAUGAAAGGAACAAAUCUGGCUAUGAUUGAUUUAAGCAACAAUUCAUUGCGUGGGAGAAUCCCGAAAUCACUGGCAAAUUGUGUGAAGCUCAAAUUUGUCCAUCUUGGGAAUAACCGAAUCACUGAUGUCUUCCCUUCCUGGCUGGGAACUCUUCCAGAGUUAGAGGUUCUUGUCUUGAAAUCCAAUAACUUUCAUGGAGAAAUAAAGGCACCUCGAACAGCUUUCGAUUUUUCGAAGCUCCGCAUCAUUGAUCUCUCUCACAACAGAUUUGGAGGCAUUCUUCCGUCGAAACACUUCGAUUGUUGGAAUUCCAUGAAAUAUGUCAAUGCAAGUUACCCAACAUAUAUGCAUGAUACACUAACUCCAAGCAUUUAUCCUGCAUCUACCUAUUUUGGUUUUUUUGAUUACUCACUGACAAUGAGUAACAAAGGCACAGAAUUGGAAUAUGAGAAGCUCUCAAAUCUGAUCACAGCAAUUAUUCUCUCCAACAACAGUUUUGUAGGAGAGAUUCCAACAUCAAUUGCUAAUUUAAAGGGGCUUCGAAAUCUCAAUCUUUCCAACAACAAUCUCCAGGGCCGCAUUCCAUCAUCUUUGAGUAACCUAACGGCGAUAGAGUCAAUGGACCUCUCCAGUAACAUGCUCUCAGGAAAUAUUCCUCAACAACUCUCAGAGCUCACAUUCCUUGCACUCUUUAAUGUGUCAGAUAACCUGCUCACAGGGCCAAUACCACGAGGGAAACAGUUCGACACAUUUUUGAAGAGUUCAUUUGAUGGAAAUCCAGGGUUGUGUGGAGGACCUUUGUCAAAAAAAUGUAACAACUCUGAGGCUUCACCACCAGAAGAAGAUCCGCACUCAGAAUCUGUAUUUACAUUUGGUUGGAAGACAGUUGUGAUUGGAUAUGCAAGUGGGACAAUAAUAGGAGUGAUACUUGGGCACAUCUUCAGUACAAGAAAGUAUGAAUGGCUCGCCAAGACUUUUCGACUGCAACCAAAGGCUGAUGCGAGGACGAGGAGAGUCAGGGGACAUAGGCAACGGAUGUAAUUAACCUUUUUUCUUUUUCUUGUAUUGUGCUUUAAAUUUCUUUCUCCUUCUUUUCUUCGAAGUUUAAUAAACGUUUUAUUAUUGUAUAUGUACUAUAUUGUCAGUGCAAGUAGGCUAAUAAUUUGAUGGUUCUUGGCAAUUUUUCCUUCAGCACGGCAUUCAUAUCGGCUGCUGCUUCUUUCUUAUUUGUUAUUCAGUACCUUAUUACUGUCCUGAUUUGAUCAAACGAUCAUGUCUUUAAUUAACAAAAUUUAAGAUAAUAGUUGUAAAAGAUUAAUGCAGCAUUCUCUUUUUCCAAACCUGAAAGGAUAUGAUUUGGAAAAAAAAAAAUCAUAUAAUUGAUGAUCAGGUAUUAGUGAUUUGGGCACCAGUACAAAGGUCUGCGAACUUUUUGUAUUUUACUUUUCAUAAUUUCCAUAUAUUCUCUAAUUUUGUUUUUGGGCAAAAACCCCUAAUUUAGUUGAAGAACCGCUUAAAAUUACAAAUUAAUCUCUCAAAGCGUUCUCUAACAAUAAUCAACUUUUUGAAGCAUCAAGCUAUUACAUGGGGUGCCAUAUAACUACUGUAAAAAAAUAUCAUUAGUCAUCAAAUAUGUGCCAACAAUAUAAUUGGUAAAUGUUAACUAUCAUCAAAACUCAAUCACAAUGCUAGAAGUGGCAUAAAAGUAAUUUGAAAUAGAAAUACCUUUAAUCAAGUUGUUGAAACAUAAAAAUAUAUUAAACAUGUGUGUUUACACGUAGAAUUUGCUUGGGAUUUUAGCUGCAUUUUGUAAAACUUUUCAAAUAGAAAUUAUUUAAUUAGAGCUUUUACAUUACCCGAAAAAAGUAAUUACCAAAAAUAUUUGAGUUGUUUGAUUGUCAACCAAAGUUUUUUUAAAAAAAAAAUUGUAUAAUUAUUUUAAUAGUCAAUUUUUUAUAGUUAUUUUAUAAAAGAAUGAAAUCCAAUUAUCAAAUAUAAUUAAAAAUACUUUAGACGGUUUAACACUUUAAAAAAAAUUCACAAUGAAACUAUGGAAAAAUAAAAGUACCACAACAAGAUUCUGUGCUCAACAUAGACAAGCAUGGUUAAUAGUCGGCAAGGAAGAAAGGGCUGGGAUUGGUUUUCUUUUUCUUUUUUUUUAAUGUAAUCUUUCAAUUUUUUCCUCCAUAAUAAAAUAUUUAAAUAACUUUUUUCUUAAUUUACAUGAUGUUUUGUACAAAGCGCUUGUUUUCAUGUUUUUGUACAAAUCGAUUUUGCCAAAUUCACAGAACUAUACUAACAAAACAGAAUCCUCCAGCCUGCCUAUCAUAGAGAGUUUUAAAAGGAAUUAUGUUUAAUAAGAAAUUAUGCGGUUAUUCACUUAUUCUUAUUUUUAAUGCACAACUUGUUCUGCUCUCAAUGUUUCAGCUUACCGUUGCGUUCUGUCUUGUUGCAAUUCAAGCAAAGCCUUACCGUUGUUCAGUGUUCUUUUUAUGAUUAUCCUUCAGCUUAUUCCAAUGUGGCAUCAUGGAACCAGGAAGAAGAAAAUAGCGACUGACGGCAUCAAAUGCAAUGAAGACACUGGUCAUGUUAUCAGGCUUGAUCUCACAAGCAGUUGCCCCAAUGGUUCUAUCAAUUCUAGCAGCAGCCUCUUUCAACUUGUCCGUCUAGAAUGGUUUGUUCUCUCCAAUAACCACUUCAACUUUUCUGAAAUCCCUUCAGAAAUCAAGAACCUGUCAAGACUAACAGCUCUCUCUCUCUCUCUCUAAUUCUUCGUUUUCUGGUCAAAUUCCAGCCGAGAGAGCUAGUUGGAGAGUCUUGAUCUAUCAUUUAAUAAUUUUCAUCUGAAGCUCCAAAGCCCGAGUCUAGCAAAUCUAGCUGAGAAGUUAGCCAACCUAAAAGUACUUCACCUUGGACAAGUCGAUACUGCUUCUACAGUUCCUUAUGCAUUGGCAUAUUUAUCAUCCUUGUUUUCUUAUCUCUCACUGAUUGCAUAUUGCAAGGUGAAUUCCCUGCAGAGAUUUUCCAGUUACCCAAACUUGUAUUUCUCGCUCUGACGUAUGAUCUCUAUCUCGCCGGAUAUUUGCCAGAAUUUCAGAAUAGCAGUGUCCUUGUAGAUUUGAGAAUUUCACAUACGAGAUUUUCAGGUAAGAUUCCGGAUUCAAUAGAAAAUCUUGAAUCCCUAUAUUCCUUGGGUAUUAGAGGUUGCUCAUUUUCAGGAAAACUUCCUUCCUUCACUUGGUAAUCUUACUAAACUCAAUGAUCUAUACCUUUCUGGUAAUGAUUUUUCGGGUGAGUUGCCUGUUUUCCUGGGAAAACUUUCUGUUUUUGAAAACGCUAGAAAUCAUUUCAUGCAACUUCUCAGGCAAAGUUCCGGAUUCACUUGGUAACCUUUUGCAGCUGAAUUAUUUAACUGGUGAGAUCUUAGGUCUGCUCUCGAAUCUAACACAACUUACUCAAUUAAAUUUGGCUCUUAACCAGUUAUCUGGUCCAAUCCGGUUUUGCUUGUUGAACCUUAGCAAAUUAUCAACUCUGUACUUAUAACAUAAUAAACUGACAGGGCGUAUGCGUAAUCCAGUUGAAAUUAGAAAGCUAACCCAAUUGCACAUUCUGCGCUUAGCGGAGAAUCAAUUGGAAGGCUCUGUUCCUAGCUCUAUCUUUGAGCUAAGGAAUCUUCAAGCGCUUGACCUUUCCGACAACAAUAUGAGUGGCACAGGGGAUCUAAACAUUGUCCUUCUUAACAUGGAAUCUUUAACAGCAUUACUUCUCUCGUCAAACAAGUUGUCAUUGCUCACUAGAGCCACUGUCGAUACCAAUUUGCCAAAUUUCACUAUAAUAGGGUUCAGUUCAUGAAACCUUAGCGAGUUCCCAUAUUUUUUUGCACAACCAAGAUCAAUUGCUAUCUCUGGAUCUUUCCUCCAACAAGAUAGCUGGCCAGGUACCUCAAUGGUUGUUAAAUGUAAGGAUAAAUAGUUUGGAAUAUUUGAACUUUUCUCACAAUCUCUUUGUUCUUCCAUGGUCCAAAAUGAAUACUUUAGACCUUAGUUUUAAUAAGCUGUAAGGACCACUCCCAUUUCCAUCAUCAGUGUUUAUCCAUUCCUAUCUAGUUUCAAACAAUCAGUUGACAGGGGAAAUUCCACUCCAAAUAUGUUGUUUGAGUGGUCUUUACGCUCUUGAUUUCUCUUACAACAACUUCGUUGAAUCUUGAUUGGAAUCAGUCAACCAAGAAUCCCCAAGACCUUUCUAAACUCUCUGAUAAUUGAUAUAGAAACAGCAACUAAUCACGCAAAAGCAAAAACAACUCAAAAACCUGCAAGCUAAGAACAACAAUUUAUGGUGGUUCGGCCUGGAGAUGGCGUAUAUCCACUGAAGAACAGAGCAACAGCUUUUAUUCAAUCACUGAGAACAAAAUACAACCUUAAAGACAAAGUUACAAGCAUUUCACACUAUGAUUUCACUUCCCUUAAGGCUAUAUAUACACGCUUAAGAGCCUCCAGAAAGAUCCCCUGCCAGCCAGCUGUAUUCUGGGUUUGUUGUAAACAAAACCCAGAAUUUUCCCGCUUUCAUAACCGAAAAUAACAAGCUUCUAGACACGUGUUUCCUUCACGUUAAACAUAGGCCCAAAACGACAGUAAAUAAUGCAGUGUUUGUGUAGGAUAAGUGACUGCACAUGACAAGCACAUGCUCAACUUAUUCAAAUGUUACUGACAAAAUAAUAUUGUCAUACGGACUUAUAAGUUUUUAAGUCGACAUGUCGUAUUGCACCAAAGCUUUAAACUGACAGAACAUCUGAUCUUCUGGAAACUAGCUUCAAAGCUCACCCUAACGAACUUCAGUAGCAUGGUUCCCAAAUGUUUGGGCAACCUCUGUGAUAAGUUGCCAGUGUUAAAAAUGCAAGCUAACAACUUUCAUGGAAUCAUUCCUGAAACCUUCGUGAACAGAACAAAUUUGAGAAUGAUUGAUUUUGACAACAAUUCAUUGCAAGGAAGAGAACCUAAAUCCCUAGCCAAUUGUGUGAAGCUAAAAUUUCUUAAUCAUGGGGAUAGCCAAAUAACUGAUGUCUUCCCUUCUUGGUUAGGAACUCUGCCAGAGGUAGAGGUUCUCAUUUUGAAAUUCAACAACUUUCAUGGAGAAAUAGAGGAACCUCAAACUGCUUUUGAGUUUCCCAAGCAUCGCAUCAUUGAUCUCUCUCAUAAUAGGUUUACAGGUAAUCUUCCAUAAAAGCACUUCUACCGCUGAAAUGCCAUGAAAGAUCUCAAAGCAAGCAAGUAAGCUAGCCAUGAAAGAUCUCAAAGCAAGUAAGCUAACAUAUUUGCAAGUUAAACCGGUGCCGCAUGAUUUAGCUGCGUUUACCAACUAUGGUUCCACCGAUUACUCACUAACAGGCCAGCUCAACCAUAUUUGGGGACAAAUGGUUUUAAUUAAUUAUUCUUAAAAUUUAAGACAAAAAAUAUAUAUAUUAUUUAUUGAAAUCAAUUCUUUAAACACUCUAAAAUGUAAAAAUUAUUAAAUAAAAUUCUAUUCUACUGUUGGUAAUCCAUGAAAUUUUAAUUCAAUUAUAACAUUUUCACUUAUUGGUUUUUUUAACUCAAAUUACAUCUUUUUUACUACUUCCUUUAUAGAUUAAACUAAUUUUUCUGUUCUUCUGUUUUCUAAAGUUUUUCGAUAUAGUUUUAUUUCAAAAUAGAUAAAACAAGCACACACAAGAAAAGUAGAUGAAUAAAAGAAUAUAUUAAAAAGAAAUAAGAACAAAUAAAUAACCCAACUAAUUAAGAGAAUAAUAAAAAGAUAAAAUCUGGAAUUUGAGUUGAAAUCAUAAAUUAACUUUAUCUUUAUAAUAAUUGUUUGAGAAUUUGAGUGAUGACCAAUAGCCAUAGAGAAUAGAGAAAACGAUUAGAUUUUUUCUUUUUUUUUCUUGAGUGGAAAGCAGAGGAAGCAAGAUUUUUUUCCCUCUCUCUCUCUUUCUUUCUCUCAAACACCAAGAACAUAUCGUAUCUUGAUUGUUGGAGGAAAAAUUUAAUGGAUAAGUAAUAAAAUGUGGGGCUUUUAUAGAGGCUUAAAAUGAACAUAAAACUUUUUAAUUAUAACAUAUUAAUUCUAACAAUGAAAUAGAGUUUGUAGGAUUGAAACUAUUAAUUUAUCGGUUUUAUAAGAAUUAAAACUAUUAAGUACUAUAUUAAACAAACUUUAUAGGAAUUUGAUAGUUUAUUUAGGAAAAGAUAAUUACAAAAUAAUAAUAAAUUAAAUGAAUAAUAAUGACUUUUAAAUUCACUUUCUCAUUUUAUAUACAAAAUAAUCAUCUCAUGAGUUCUUUAUAUAAAGCGGGACCCUAAGCAACCGCCUAAGUUGCUUAGAGGUCAAGCCCCUACUGCUAAUAAUGAGAAACAAAGGCAGAGAUAGAAUAUCCCAAGCUGUCAAAUUUGAUCACAGCAAUUAUUCUCUCCGACAACAAUUUUGUUGGAGAGAUUCCAACAUCAAUCGCCAAUUUAAAGGGGCUUCGGACUCUCAACCUUUCCAACAACAAUCUCCGAGGGUACAUUCCAUCAACUUUGAGUAACCUAACCGUGAUAUAGAGUCAUUAGACCUCUCUCGUAACAAGCUCACAGGACAAAUUCCUCAGCAAGUAGCAGACCUCACAUCCCUUUCAUUCUUUAAUGUGUCACACAACCAUCUGAGUUAAAGAACAGAAAAUAGUUGUUUGGCUGAUGAGAAAGUUAAAUAAAAGAAAUGAGAUCUGGAAACUUCAACUUUAUUCAAUUCUUUUGUUUUCUGGAACUAUAACCAUCUACUAAUCGAUUACAUGUAUAUAUAUACAAGUGCAGCUGCUCAGCUGAAGUUUAACAAACUAACUAACUAUUUACAACUUGCUUAACAAAAUUAUCACGUGUAUAUGCACAAGCAGCUACAUAACCAACUGGUGCCAGCUGGCAGUACAUGUCAUCAACUUGUAACUGAUUGUAGAAGCUUCUAUGAUCCUCUGCUCUGCUGCAAAUAUGAGCCUCCUUAACAAUCUGACGGGAGUAAUACCACAAGCGACACAGUUCAGCACAUUCACGAAUGAUUCGUUUGUUGGAAAUCCAGGAUUGUGUGGAGAACCUUUGCCUAGAAAAUGUGAAAACUCUGAUGCUUCCCCAGCAGAUGAUGAUCUAUACUCAGAAUCUGUAAUCGCAUUUGGGUUGGAGACGGUGCUAGCAGGGUGUGCAAGUAGGACAAUAAUAGGAGUGGCACUUGGGUACAUCUUCUCCACGAAAGUAUGAAUAGCUUACGAAGACUUUUCGACUACAACCAGAAAGUAGUGGAAGGAGGAGGAGACAUGGCAAAGAAUGUAAUUAAUAAGCUUUAAUUAAUUUAUUUAUUUAUUUUAUGAAUUACUCACUAAAGCCUUGAAGAAUUGUGUACUUGAAAAUUUUUCUUUCUCUUCCAAUUUCAAUAAAUCUAUUUAUACUAUGGUGCUAUUGCUAUGAUUCACGCUUCGGGCCUGUUUGAAAUUAUUUUUGAAAGAUUUAAAAGUGAUUUUAAAAAAAUUAAAAGUCGAUUUUAGUAUUUGAUAAACUUUCAAUAGGAUCAUUUUAUCCUAUAACAAAUUUUAAAAAAUGAAAAAGAGUAGUUUUUCAAAAUUUGAUUUUGAUAAUUCAUUUCAUAAUAUAUAUAUAAAAAUCUAAAAUUAUCUUUNNNNNNNNNNNNNNNNNNNNNNNNNNNNNNNNNNNNNNNNNNNNNNNNNNNNNNNNNNNNNNNNNNNNNNNNNNNNNNNNNNNNNNNNNNNNNNNNNNNNNNNNNNNNNNNNNNNNNNNNNNNNNNNNNNNNNNNNNNNNNNNNNNNNNNNNNNNNNNNNNNNNNNNNNNNNNNNNNNNNNNNNNNNNNNNNNNNNNNNNNNNNNNNNNNNNNNNNNNNNNNNNNNNNNNNNNNNNNNNNNNNNNNNNNNNNNNNNNNNNNNNNNNNNNNNNNNNNNNNNNNNNNNNNNNNNNNNNNNNNNNNNNNNNNNNNNNNNNNNNNNNNNNNNNNNNNNNNNNNNNNNNNNNNNNNNNNNNNNNNNNNNNNNNNNNNNNNNNNNNNNNNNNNNNNNNNNNNNNNNNNNNNNNNNNNNNNNNNNNNNNNNNNNNNNNNNNNNNNNNNNNNNNNNNNNNNNNNNNNNNNNNNNNNNNNNNNNNNNNNNNNNNNNNNNNNNNNNNNNNNNNNNNNNNNNNNNNNNNNNNNNNNNNNNNNNNNNNNNNNNNNNNNNNNNNNNNNNNNNNNNNNNNNNNNNNNNNNNNNNNNNNNNNNNNNNNNNNNNNNNNNNNNNNNNNNNNNNNNNNNNNNNNNNNNNNNNNNNNNNNNNNNNNNNNNNNNNNNNNNNNNNNNNNNNNNNNNNNNNNNNNNNNNNNNNNNNNNNNNNNNNNNNNNNNNNNNNNNNNNNNNNNNNNNNNNNNNNNNNNNNNNNNNNNNNNNNNNNNNNNNNNNNNNNNNNNNNNNNNNNNNNNNNNNNNNNNNNNNNNNNNNNNNNNNNNNNNNNNNNNNNNNNNNNNNNNNNNNNNNNNNNNNNNNNNNNNNNNNNNNNNNNNNNNNNNNNNNNNNNNNNNNNNNNNNNNNNNNNNNNNNNNNNNNNNNNNNNNNNNNNNNNNNNNNNNNNNNNNNNNNNNNNNNNNNNNNNNNNNNNNNNNNNNNNNNNNNNNNNNNNNNNNNNNNNNNNNNNNNNNNNNNNNNNNNNNNNNNNNNNNNNNNNNNNNNNNNNNNNNNNNNNNNNNNNNNNNNNNNNNNNNNNNNNNNNNNNNNNNNNNNNNNNNNNNNNNNNNNNNNNNNNNNNNNNNNNNNNNNNNNNNNNNNNNNNNNNNNNNNNNNNNNNNNNNNNNNNNNNNNNNNNNNNNNNNNNNNNNNNNNNNNNNNNNNNNNNNNNNNNNNNNNNNNNNNNNNNNNNNNNNNNNNNNNNNNNNNNNNNNNNNNNNNNNNNNNNNNNNNNNNNNNNNNNNNNNNNNNNNNNNNNNNNNNNNNNNNNNNNNNNNNNNNNNNNNNNNNNNNNNNNNNNNNNNNNNNNNNNNNNNNNNNNNNNNNNNNNNNNNNNNNNNNNNNNNNNNNNNNNNNNNNNNNNNNNNNNNNNNNNNNNNNNNNNNNNNNNNNNNNNNNNNNNNNNNNNNNNNNNNNNNNNNNNNNNNNNNNNNNNNNNNNNNNNNNNNNNNNNNNNNNNNNNNNNNNNNNNNNNNNNNNNNNNNNNNNNNNNNNNNNNNNNNNNNNNNNNNNNNNNNNNNNNNNNNNNNNNNNNNNNNNNNNNNNNNNNNNNNNNNNNNNNNNNNNNNNNNNNNNNNNNNNNNNNNNNNNNNNNNNNNNNNNNNNNNNNNNNNNNNNNNNNNNNNNNNNGCAGCUAGAUGAUGUUUGAGUUUGGUAACUGCUCUGAUUUCAUAACAAUAUUAUCUUUAUUUGUUUACGAAUUAUUAUCUUUAAAGCGUAGCUCAAAAAAAUCAACAUUAACAAUAAAUUUACAAUUGCCUAAGGGUAUUACGUUUGAAAAAAUUAUACUCGAUAAUGGAUAAAGCUAAAUAAAUAUCCCUAUUUUUAGAUAUUACAAAAAUUGAACGUAUUUAAGAUUUUUAAAUUAAAAAUAGUUUUCAAGCAUCAUAUAUAUCAAAUGUACACUGAAAUACCAGAAAUAUUAAAAACACAAUUCAAUUUUAAAUUAUAUUUCAAUUUUUAUUAACUCUUUUUAAAUCCUGACUAAUUUCUCAUGCCAACUGUUCUAGCUUUGUUGUCUAAGACCUGUAUGAGAAUGAAGAGACUUUAAGGUUUUGAACUAAUUCUAUAGACCUUCAAGUAAAAUGGAAAUUUUUUUGCUUCCGUUUUAUGUUUCUUGUGGCCUGGUUCGUUGUGGAUGGGAUACAAAUAAUCUUUAAGCCACGGAAAUUAAAAUUGAUCGAUCAAGAUGUUGAAGUGUAACAAUCGAUUCUUUAAUACACAAGUCUUCUGCCCUUGUCUUCACGUACGUCUUGUCGAUCUAACAAAGCCAAUUAUUCGGUGACGGCCACACUAGGGAACUUGACUAAUUGACUUGCACUAACAAGUCAUCAAUAAGUCCAUUAACGACUUCGUCUUUGAGUGCUUGCUUUUCCGGAUACCACCACAUACUCAUACAUCCUAGCUUCAAGAUAAAACAAACUUCUCCAUUUCCACACAAAAUGAUUCCACACUUGGAUAAAUCAGAACAUAGCAAUAAUUCAUUUGCAAUAAUUGAAAGUUGCCUAUAUAAAGCAUCGCAGCUUCACUACCAUUAUGCGCGCCAUAAAAGCAAAAUACCAUAAAGACACAUUUUAGAUCAAUUCCUGGGGAGACAAAUUAUGGGGUUAUCAUUACGUUUCUUUACCUUUAUGCACUUAGUUUCUUCCUUGUUAAUAUUUCACCUUGCAAUUGCUCACUUCACUUCUUCCAUGCAGCCACACACACUCUGCCAUGAUCAAGAUCGUUCUGCCCUGUUGAAAUUCAUCGAAAGCCUUACCAUUAAUAGGUAUGCUUCUAGAAAUCCUUUGUCUUAUCCCAAGGUUGCAUCCUGGAAUCAGGAUGAACAAAAUAGUGACUGCUGCUCUUGGGAUGGCAUAAAAUGCGAUGAGGACACUGGUCAUGUGAUCAGCCUUAACCUCAGUAGCAGUUGGCUCUAUGGCUCCAUCAACUCUAGCAGCAGUCUCUUUCAGCUUGUUCAUCUUGAAUGGCUUGCUCUCGCAGAUAACCAUUUUCAUUUCUCUGUAAUCCCCUCUGAAAUCGUCAACCUUUCGAGGCUGACACGUCUAUCUCUCUCUGGUUCUUUUUUUGCUGGUCAAAUACCUGCAGAAUUGCUAGAACUCUCGAGGUUGGAGGUUCUUGAUCUAUCAUCAAAUGACCAUCAUCUGAAACUCCAAAGUCCUGGUCUAGCAAAUCUAGCUGAAAAGUUAACCAACCUCAAACGACUUAACCUUACCGAUGUCAAUAUUUCUUCUGCAGUUCCUCCUACAUUCGCAAAUUUGUCUUCUUUAAUUUCCUUAUCUCUAAGUGAAUCCUUUUUGCACGGUGAAAUCCCUACAGAGAUUUUUCAAUUGCCCAACCUUCGAUUACUUGAGCUCGCGUACAAUUCAAAUCUCACAGGACAUCUACCAGAAUUUCAGAAAAGCAAUUCCCUUGAGCUUUUGAAUGUUGCAUUCUCGGGAUUUUCUGGUAAGAUUCCGAAUUCAAUAGACAAUCUUAAAUCAUUAUCUCACUUGUAUUUGCCACGCUGCUACUUUUCUGGAAAAAUCCCCCCUUCACUUGGUAAUCUUGUUAGAGUUAUAAAUAUAAAGAAUAUUUUUGUAAUGAUUCUGCUGAUGUGGCAGCUGAGUAAGCAAGGUUGUUAUUUGUUAGUUUGUAAGUUUGUUAAUCACAGCUCACUCUAAACACGUGUGUGAGCAAUGCAGAAGGUUCUGGAUCUUAGUAUAUAAGAUCAACCUCUGUAUUCAUAAUUCAUUGAAUAAAAUUCGAUCUAUUUUUCUUAUAGUUUCUCUUAUUGCUCAUUGAAUUUUCCUUCAUUUUCUCUGCAACCAAACAAGCAUAAAUAGCUUGGUUAAACUUCAAUUUGGUAUCAGAGCCACAUCUAGUCUAAUCUCAUGGCAUUAUCAAGCUUGACCACAAACAUCUCUUCUUCAGCAACAACCUUUACUUUCACAACUCCAAUAAAACUUGAUCGAUCAAAUAACUUAAUCUGGAAAUCUCAAAUUCUAUCCUCAGUUCGAGCAAAUGAGCUUGAGAGUUUGCUUGAUGGAUCCAGAAUCUGUCCAGAUCAAUUUCUCUCAAGCACUCAAGGAAAUUCAGAUGCUAUGUUCAAUGCUUCUGCAAGUUCAACUGUUACUUCACAAGAGAAUCCUGAGUUUCAUGUGUGGAAGAAGCAAGAUCAGAUGCUGCUGAGCUGGCUGCUAUCCUCUAUCAGCAUUGAAAUCCUCAGCCUUGUGGUAAACUCUAAAACCUCUUAUGAACUGUGGUCUAGUUUAGAGCAACAAUUUGGAUCUGAAACUGCUGCUAAGAAAGUUCAUCUCAAAAUGAUGUUGAAUAAUCUAAAGAAAGGAUCUAUGACUAUGACAGAAUAUUUUAGUAAGUUGAAGUCAGUUACAGAUGAGCUUGCUAUUGCUGGAAGUCCUGUUAGUUCUUUGGAUUUUAUAACUCAUCUCAUCUCUGGAUUAGGUCAGCCUUAUUAUCCAGUAGUUGUGUAUAUUGAAGCAAAUGUUCUAAAAAUGAGUAUUAAUGAGGCUUAUUCAAUGUUGUUGACACAUGAGGCACGUUUAGAAAGCAAUCAAUCUAAUUCUUUCAAAGAAGUGAAACAGAACUAUGCUGCUAACUUAGCUCAGGCUGGGAAUAAUCAAAAGAAAGUUAACAAUCAGGGAGGCUGGAAUAAUAAUAGUCAAGGAGGUUGGAAUGGAAACACUGGGAACAAACCUGGAUUUUAUAACUGGAAUGGAAACUUUGCAAACAGAGGAGGUUUCAAUCCAGGAAGGGGACAAAAUUCAGGUAGAGGACAAUGGAAUAAUAAUUGGAAUAACUGGAAUGGAAAUCAGGGUAGAGGCAAUUUUACUGGUGCUGCUGGAAAUUUUUCUGGUAGAUUUCCUGGUGGCUAUAAUGGAUUUGGAAGAGGAGGAGGCAGAGGAAAUAUUGUUUGUCAGAUUUGUUUCAAACACAAUCAUACUGCAGCUGAUUGCAAAGACAGAUUUAACAGAAAUUUUGUUCCUAAUUUUUCUGUGCAAGGAAACUUUCUAGAUCAGAAUCAAACUUCCAGAGCUGCUUUCAUGGCUACAUCAGAAGGAGUUGCUGACCAAGGAUGGUAUCUGGAUAGUGGAGCAACACAUCAUCUCACAAACAAUAUGGAGAACCUAGCUGAAGGUACACCUUAUCUUGGAUCUCAGUUGCUAUUAGUUGGUAAUGGACAAGGUCUUAGAAUUACUUCUAUAGGCAAUAUAUGUCUCCUUACAUCCUUUGGUAAUCAAUUAAACCUUUCCAAUGUUCUGUGUGUUCCCAAAAUUACCAAGAAUCUGAUUAGCUUAUCUAAACUUCUCUCUGACAAUCAUAUAAUCAUUGAAUUUGUUUCUAAUCUUUGUCUCAUUAAGGACAAGAUGCAAGGAACUUUGCUGGCACAGGGGAUUGCUGAGGAUGGUCUCUUUAAGCUACUGACUCAAGAUACACCUCUUUCUGAUUCUAAAGCCUUGGGUCUCAAACCUAGUUCGAUGUUGUCUGUUUUUUCUAAUAAAGAGAAUGUACACUCAUUGAAAGAGUUGAAUCACCAAACAAAUGUCUGUUCAAAUUUGAUCAAUUCCAAUAAUGAGAAUUCUGUCAGUUUUCUAGCUUCCAGUAGUCAGUCUAUGCAAUUGCUACACAAUAUGUUUGGUCAUCCAACCAAACAUGUCUUGCAAACAAUAAUGAAAAGUCUUCCUAUGCAUUCAACCCAUUCUCAAUCUCUUAAUUUUUGUGAUGCUUGUCAAUAUAGUAAAUUACAUCAAUUCCAUUUUCCAGUCACUGAUAUAAAAUCAAAAUUUCCUCUCCAACUCUUAUAUGCUGACUUAUGGGGUCCAGCUUCUGUGUUGUCUAUGGAUGGAUACAAGUACUAUAUUUCUUUUGUUGAUGAUUUCACAAGAUAUUGUUGGGUAUUUCCACUCACACUCAAAUCUGAGGCAUUAGACACCUUCAAAUAUUUCAAAUCUCUUGUCGAAAAACAGUUUUCUUUAUCCAUCCAAACACUACAAACUGAUAUGGGGGGUGAGUUUAUAGCCUUCAGAUCAUUUCUCCAACAAGAGGGUAUUCAAUUUAGAUAUAGUUGCCCCCACACUCACCAUCAAAAUGGUGUGGUGGAAAGGAAGCAUAGGCAUGUUGUUGAAACUGGACUCACACUCUUAGCUCAAGCUCAUUUACCUCUCUCUUUUUGGUGGGAAGCUUUUCAUACAGCCACUUACUUAGUGAAUAGAAUGCCAACACCUGUUCUAAACAAUUUAUCUCCUUUUCAGAAACUAUACAAUCAGCUUCCAGAUUACAAGUUUUCUAAAGUGUUUGGCUGUUCCUGUUUUCCUUUUCUUCGACCUUAUCAUCAUCACAAGCUAGAUUUCCAUACUCAAAAGUGUGUCUUCAUUGGUUAUAGCCCCAUUCAUAAGGGCUACAAGUGUCUUGAUCGAACUGGGAAAGUCUUUGUUGCCAGACAUGUUACUUUCAAUGAACUGGAAUUUCCAUAUUCUGAACUGUUUUUGAAAACCAAGUCCAACACCUUAUCUCAUUCUGUUACCUCCACUCCAUCUUCAGUUCAUUUCUUUCUUCCUCAAACACCUGUUCUUAGUCACAGUAGCAAUGAAGAGCCAUCAGCUGCAGUCUCCAGUCCUGCUUUGUCUCCUGCAUCAGAGUCUCAUUCCUUGCCACAUUCUGUUCAUUCACAAUCUCUAGAUCAACCCUCAAGAUCUUCAAAUUCUUCUCCACCAGUAAUCGCUACUCAUCCUAUGGUUAACAGAUCCUAGGUGGUACUCAGCUAUGAAAGAAGAAUUUGAAGCUCUCCAAAGAAAUCAAACCUGGACUUUAGUGCCUCCUGAAUCAGCUGGGAAAAUUGUUGGCAACAAGUGGGUUUACAGAGUUAAGUAUAAUGCUGAUGGCAGCAUCUCUCGGUAUAAAGCUCGGUUGGUUGCCAAGGGAUAUCAUCAAACUUAUGGGGUUGAUUUCUUUGAGACAUUUAGCCCUGUGAUCAAGCCUUGUACUGUCAGAAUCAUUUUAAGCUUAGCAGUCAUGCAUCACUGGCCUAUUAAGCAGCUGGAUGUAAACAAUGCUUUCCUCAAUGGCAUUCUUACUGAAGAUGUGUACAUGCAUCAACCACAAGGGUUUGUUGAUUCCACUUACCCUUCUUUUGUUUGUAAGCUUAAUAAGGCCUUAUAUGGUCUCAAACAGGCUCCAAGAGCCUGGUAUGAUCGAUUAAAGGAGUCACUAGUUCAAUGGGGUUUUCGAGUCUCCAAAUCUGACACUUCUCUGUUCAUUAAGCAUGCAGGGACAGAUAUCUUGCUCAUUCUCAUUUAUGUGGAUGAUAUUUUAGUCACGGGUUCAGAUUCAAAGCUCAUAGGAAAUGUUAUUCAGCAAUUACAUUUUGAGUUUGCCUUGAAGGAGCUGGGGGAUUUUCAUUACUUUCUUGGUAUUGAAGUUACUCCAUCUGUUCACGGUAUUCAUCUAUCUCAAACUAAGUACAUUGGUGAUAUUCUUAAAAGGGCAAAUAUGUUGGACAGUAAAGGUUGUGUUACACCUAUGAGUACUUCUGAGAAGCUGCACAAGGAUACAGGUGCUGCAUUUGAAAAUCCAUCUUUAUACAGAAGCAUUGUGGGAUCUCUUCAAUAUGUUCUGUUAACUCGACCAGACUUAGCUUUCACAGUCAACAAGCUUAGUCAAUUUUUAUCAGCUCCCACAAUUCUUCAUUGGCAAGCUUGCAAGAGGGUGUUACGGUAUCUUCAAAGUACAGCUGAUUAUGGUCUUCAGUUUUUCAGUUCUGGUUCUUUAAAGUUAACUGCCUACUCUGAUGCUGAUUGGGGAGCAGAUCCUGAUGAUCGCAGAUCUGUUGGAGGUUAUUGUGUGUUUUUAGGUUCCAAUCUCAUCUCUUGGUCCUCUAAGAAGCAGCCUAUUGUGUCCAGAUCAUCAGCUGAGUCAGAGUAUAGAGCUCUUGCUAUGGCUACCUCUGAAGUUCUCUGGAUUACAUACUUAUUUCAAGAGCUUCACAUAUCUUUUGAUCAGAUUCCUCUUCUGCAUUGUGAUAACAAGAGUGCUGAAGCUUUGGCCAGUAAUCCUAAAUAUCAUGCUCGUACUAAACAUAUUGAGCUUGACCUCCAUUUUCUCAGAGAGCAUAUUGCUCAACAACAGCUUUCAGUUACUUAUGUUCCCAGUUCAGAUCAAUUAGCAGAUGUUCUUACUAAGCCCCUCUGUUUUGAUCAGUUUGCUUAUUUGCGCAGCAAGCUUAAUGUCCUUUCACGACAUCAAGCUUGAGGGGGGAUGUUAGAGUUAUAAAUAUAAAGAAUAUUUUUGUAAUGAUUCUGCUGAUGUGGCAGCUGAGUAAGCAAGGUUGUUAUUUGUUAGUUUGUAAGUUUGUUAAUCACAGCUCACUCUAAACACGUGUGUGAGCAAUGCAGAAGGUUCUGGAUCUUAGUAUAUAAGAUCAACCUCUGUAUUCAUAAUUCAUUGAAUAAAAUUCGAUCUAUUUUUCUUAUAGUUUCUCUUAUUGCUCAUUGAAUUUUCCUUCAUUUUCUCUGCAACCAAACAAGCAUAAAUAGCUUGGUUAAACUUCAAUUAAUCUUACCAAGCUCGCUCAUUUGUUCCUUUGGGGUAAUGGAUUUUCGGGAGAGUUGCCUACUUCCAUUGGAAAUCUAGCUUCUUUGGAAAUUCUAGCUAUCAGUUCAUGCAAUUUCUCAGGUGAAGUUCCAGCUUCGUCACUUCGUAAUCUAACCCAGCUUACUGCUUUAAUAAUUGGGACAAAUAAUUUUUCAUCCCUAAGUUCUCGUUCAUUGUCUUGGAUCGCUGAUCUAAAGAAACUCACUAUUUUAGACCUUGUGUUAAGAUAGUCAAAUUGAUUAGUCACGUGCUAGUUAAUAUAGUUAGUUAAAUAGAAUCUGUUAUACAUGAUGACAUGGCUGCUUAUGUGGCAAAUUAGUUUUAGUUACUAGCUCAGCUGAUUUGCAUGUAAACAGAAUGAAGAAUAUUCCAGAUUGUAGUAUAUAAACAUGUGUAACUAAUCAAACGAUUUAAUGAAUAAGAAUCAAGUUCUUUCUUCUCUGCUUCUCUGAUUUUUCCUUUUCAUUUUCUUAGUAAACAAACAAACUCAUCUUUCUUAAUUUGGUAUCAGAGCCACGAUCUAAUGGCUGCUUUUAACUCAAAUCAAAACACAACAUCCUCAUUUACAUUCACCUCACCAGUUAAACUUGAUAGAACAAAUUAUACAAUCUGGAAGUCUCAAAUUCUCACUUCAGUUCGUGCUAAUGGCCUUGAAGAUUUUCUCGACAACUCAAAACUUUGUCCAGAACAAUUCUCAUCUGAUGGAGUUAUAAAUUCUGAUUCUGAUGCAACUGAGAUCACUACUGCUGAAGGAGUUCGAGAGAAUCCAGCCUUUGUUAUCUGGAAACGAAAAGAUCAGAUGCUGCUGAGCUGGCUGAUGUCCUCUAUCAGUCUAGAGAUUCUCAGUUUGGUGGUAAAUUCUAAAACCUCACUUGAACUCUGGAUUAGUCUUGAACAACAGUUUGGAUCUGAAACCUUUGCUAAAAAGGUACAUCUGAAAAUUAUGCUUAACAAUCUUAGAAAAGGAGCUAUGUCCAUGACUGAAUUUUUUGGAAAACUAAAGACAGUUACUGAUGAACUUGCUGUGGCUGGUAGUUCUGUUAGCUCACUAGAUUUUCUUACUCAUUUGAUCAGUGGAUUAGGCCAGCCUUAUUACCCUGUGGUAGUAUACAUUGAGGCAAAUCUUGCCAAGAUGUCUGUAAAUGAAGCUUAUUCUAUACUUCUGACUCAUGAGGCUAGGUUAGAGGCUAAUCAAUUGAACUCUAGUAAAGAAGCUAAAGUGAAUUUUGCAGCUAAUGUUGCUCAAACUGGACAGAAUACUAAAUCUGGACAGUAUAAUGCUAAUUGGAACAAAAAUCAAAAUGGUAAUGGUAAUGGAGGCAGAGGAGGUUUUGGUAGAGGUUUUUCACAAGGCCAAGCAAGAGGAAAUUGGAAUAAUGGCUGGAAUGGAGCAUCACCUAGUAACUAUCAAGGUAGAGGUGGUUUUGGUUUUGGAAAUGGAAAUUUUGCAAAACCUGGUGGUUUUCACAAUAGUAAUAGGAGAGGUAGUUCUGAUCUUAACUCUGUUGGAGUAAUUUGUCAGAUCUGUUUCAAACCUAAGCAUACUGCAGCUGAGUGUAGAAAUAGGUUCAAUAGAGAGUUCAUACCUUUCAACUCAUCAUCAGGAUAUAACUCAUAUCAAUAUCCAGUGCCAAGGCCUGCAUAUGCUAACUCAGCACCUAGAGCUGCUUUUAUGGCUGCUUUUGAAGGUGAUUUUGCUGAUCAAGGGUGGUACAUAGACAGUGGUGCAACUCAUCACCUCACCAACAAUCUACAGAAUCUGAGUCUUGCAAAUGAAUACUCAAGUAAUCACUUGCUGCAUGUUGGUAAUGGUCAAGGGCUGCAUAUAUCACAUGUUGGUUACACUGAUCUUCAUACAUCAUUAGACUCAAUCUUACACUUAAAAGAUAUUUUGUUUGUUCCUCAUUUUACCAAAAAUCUUAUAAGCAUCUCAAAGCUACUUGAAGACAACAACUUAACCAUUGAAUUUGUUGCCAAUAUGUGUUUUAUUAAGGACCAGAAGAAGGGAGUGCAUCUUGCUCAAGGGAUUGUUAGAGGAGGGCUAUAUCAGUUAUUGUCAAAAAAGGAUUUCAUUUCCAGUUCUCACAGUCCUUCUCAGAUUCCUAGUUCCAUGCUUUAUGUUUUGAAUAAUUCAGCUUGUAAUCUCUUAGAUGAAGCUACAAAUAAAACUUGUACAAACAAUAUUUUGUCUGCAAAUUUGUUACAUCAAAGGUUUGGUCAUCCCAGCAAACAUGUGUUGAAAUGUAUUCUACCUUCUCUUUCUCUUCCUUGUCCAACAUCAAUGCCUGAUUUUUGUGAUGCUUGUCAAUAUGGUAAAAUCCAUCAGUUCCCCUUUUACUCAACAGGAAUAAAAACAAAAGCUCCUUUAGAGCGAGUCCAUACUGAUCUCUGGGGUCCAGCACCCAUUCCUUCACUACAGGGCUAUAGAUACUACAUAAGUUUUGUAGAUGAUUAUAGUAGGUAUAGUUGGAUUUUUCCUUUAACCCUCAAAUUAGAAGCCUUAGCUACUUUCAAACACUUCAAAACUCUUAUUGAGAAACAAUUUGAUCAUCCUUUAAAGUCACUACAAUCUGAUUGGGGAGGUGAAUACAUAAAUUUUGUACAUUUUCUUCAAGAAGAAGGCAUAGAGCUUAGACAUAGUUGCCCUCAUACACAUCACCAAAAUGGUGUGGUAGAGAGAAGCAUCGCCAUAUUAUAGAAACAGGGCUAACUUUACUUGCUCAGGCAAAAAUGCCCUUAUCUUUUUGGUGGGAAUCCUUUUAUACAGCUUCUUUUCUUAUCAAUAGGCUGCCAACACCUGUUUUGAAUAAUACCUCUCCUUAUACCAAGCUCUAUGGCAGAAAGCCUGAUUAUCAUUUUCUCAAAACCUUUGGCUGUUCAUGCUUUCCUUUUCUCAGACCUUACAGUCAACACAAGUUUAACUUUUAUACACAAAAAUCUCUCAUGAUUGGUUAUAGUCCUCUUCACAAAGGCUAUAAGUGUCUUGAUCCCACUGGCAAAACUUAUAUUGCCAGACAUGUUAAGUUUAAUGAAUCUGAAUUUCCAUAUUCAAAUCUUUUUCCUUCAUCAGAUCCAAAAGUGUCCUCAGUUCAGCAAAGUCAUUUCUCUAAUCCAUUCAUUACUUCCACAAUCCUACUCACUGAUAGUAACUGUGCACAGUCUUCUCUCAAUCCUCCAGCUCAAGAUGCAGGCCCUGAUUCAGGUAUCUUACAGACACUCUCUUCGUCUCAUUCUUCAGACACUUCUUCAUACAGUACACCACAUCAACCAUCUUCUUCUGUUCAGUUGCCAUCAAUAUCCACUCUUGCACCUCAACCAGCUCAAAAUAUUCAUCCCAUGCUCACUAGAUCCAAAGCUGGUGUAUUUAAGCCUAAAACUUACCUGGCUGUUACUCAGCACCUUGAACCACAUUCAGUUAAAGCAGCAUUGGUUGACAUCAAAUGGAGACAAGCUAUGCAGGCUGAGUUUGAUGCCUUGCAGAAAAAUAGCACCUGGUGUUUAGUUCCUAGAGAAAAAGCUGGGAAAAUUGUAGGCAACAAAUGGGUUUUCAGGGUGAAGUAUAAUCCUGAUGGUAGUAUAUCCAAGUAUAAAGUAAGGCUGGUGGCCAAAAGCUUCCAUCAAACACAAGGAGUAGAUUUCUUUGAAACAUUCAGUCCGGUUGUAAAGCCUUGCAUAAUAAGAAUCAUUUUGGGUCUUGCUGUCAUGAAUCACUGGCCUAUUCAACAGCUGGACAUUAAUAAUGCUUUUCUUAAUGGCAUCCUUACUGAAGAAGUCUUUAUGCAUCAGCCUGAAGGUUUCAUUCAUCCUCAAUUUCCAUCUCAUGUCUGCAAGCUUACCAAAGCUCUCUAUGGUCUUAAGCAAGCUCCAAGAGCUUGGUAUGACAGAUUGAAAUGUUCUUUGUUGAAUUGGGGUUUCAUUGCUUCAAAAUCUGAUACUUCAUUGUUCAUUUUUCACAAAGCAGGAGAUAUAGUUGUUAUUUUAGUUUAUGUAGAUGACAUAUUAGUGACUGGUUCUAAUGAUCAGCUUGUUGAAAAAGUUAUUCAUCAUUUAAGCUCAGAGUUUGUUUUUAAGGAUCUUGGGGAAUUCAACUACUUUCUUGGUCUUGAGGUUACACCUUCAGUUGAAGGUUUGCAUAUUUCUCAAACAAAAUAUGUAGGUGAUAUUCUCAAGAAAGCACAGAUGAUUGAGAGCAAAGGUUGUUCCACUCCCAUGAGUUCUACAGAGAAGCUAGUCAAAGACAAGGGUGUUGCUUUUGAAAAUCCCUCUCUCUAUAGAAGUAUAGUUGGCUCAUUAUAGUAUCUUACCCUUACUAGACCUGAGAUUGCCUUCACAGUGAAUAAACUGAGUCAGUUUCUUGCCAAUCCAUCAGUGCUUCAUUGGCAAGCAUGUAAACGAGUUCUGAGAUAUUUACAAUGUACAGCUAACCUUGGUUUACAGUUUUAUGCCUCUAGUUCACUCACACUUUCAGCUUUCUCAGAUGCUGAUUGGGGCUUAGAUUUAGAUGACAGAAAGUCAAUUGGGGGAUAUUGCAUUUAUCUAGGGAAUAAUCUGGUCUCAUGGUCAUCUAAGAAACAACCUAUAGUUUCAAGAAGCACAGCUGAGUCAGAAUACAGAGCAUUAACAUUGGCUGUCUCUGAAACUUUGUGGAUCACUUACUUGCUGCAAGAGUUGAAAGUAACUCUAGCACAAACUCCAGUUAUCUACUGUGAUAACAAGAGUGCAGAAGCUUUAGCAAGCAAUCCCAAGUAUCACUCCAGAACCAAACAUAUUGAGUUAGAUUUACACUUCAUUCGGGAUCAUAUAGCUCAGAAAGAACUGCAGAUUAGUCAUGUUCCCAGCUAUGAUCAAGUGGCAGACAUUUUUACAAAACCUUUAGCUUUUGAUCAAUUUAACUAUCUAAGGUCCAAGCUCAAUGUCCUUUCACGACCUUGAGCUUGAAGGAGGCUGUUAAGAUAGUCAAAUUGAUUAGUCACGUGCUAGUUAAUAUAGUUAGUUAAAUAGAAUCUGUUAUACAUGAUGACGUGGCUGCUUAUGUGGCAAAUUAGUUUUAGUUACUAGCUCAGCUGAUUUGCAUGUAAAUAGAAUGAAGAAUAUUCCAGAUUGUAGUAUAUAAACAUGUGUAACUAAUCAAACGAUUUAAUGAAUAAGAUUCAAGUUCUUUCUUCUCUGCUUCUCUGAUUUUUCCUUUUCAUUUUCUUAGUAAACAAACAAACUCAUCUUUCUUAAUUCCUUGAAUCCAGCAAAUUAGUUGGUGAGGUCCCUCAUGUGCUCAUGAACCUAACACAACUUACUCAGUUAUCUCUAGCUUUUAAUCACCAAUUAACUGGUCCGAUUCCAUAUUGACUGAUGAACCUAAACGAACUAUCCCUUCUCAGCUUCAGAGGUAGCAAAUUGAGUGGCCAUAUCCCCAUUGAAAUUUCGAACCUAACCCAAUUGCAGAAACUGUAUUUUGCAGGGAAACAAUUGGAAGGUUCUAUUCCUAGCUCGUUCUUUGAGCUCAAGAAUCUUGUGGAGCUUGAACUCGCCGGCAACAAAUUGAGUGGCACAUUGGAUAUAAACAAGUUCCUACUUAACAUGAAAAGUUUAGAAGUGUUAGUUCUCUCGUCAAACAAAUUGUCACUGCUCACCGAUACCACUGUGAAUACCUAUUCCAAGAACUUCAGUGUUAUAGGCUUACGUUCAUGCAACCUUAGUGAGUUCCCACAUUUUCUGUACAACCAAAAACUCCUGGAUUCCUUGGAUCUUUCAUCCAACAGGAUAGCUGGUCAAGUGCCUGGAUGGUUUUUAAACAAUGUAAGUGUAGGCGGUUUUGAUUAUUUGAACCUUUCUCACAAUCUAUUGACAGGCUUUGGGCAGGUUCUUCCAUGGGCUUAUAUGAUUACUUUAGAUCUUAGUUUUAACAAGUUGCGAGGACCACUCCCACUUCCAAUAUCAGUGUCCACCUCAUCCUAUCUAGUUUCAAACAAUCAGCUGACAGGGGAAAUUCCACCAUCAAUUUGCAGUUUGAAUCGUCAAUUUGUAAUUUGAAUCGUCUUUAUGCACUUGAUCUGUCUCACAAUAACUUAAGUGGCAUGCUUCCAGGAUGUUUGGGAAAUUCCAGUGUUCAGCUUUUGGUAUUAAAACUGCAAGGUAACAAGUUCCACGGAUUCAUUCCUGAAACCUUCAGCAAAGGAACAAAUAUGAGGAUGAUUGAUUUCAACAGCAACUUACUGCAAGGGAGAGUGCCCAAAUCGCUAGCCAAUUGCGUAAAGCUCAAAUUUCUUAAUCUUGGGGAUAAUCAAAUCACGGACUUCUUUCCUUCUUGGUUAGGAACUCUUCCAGAGUUAGAGGUGCUCAUCUUGAAAUCCAACAACUUUCAUGGAGUAAUAGAGGAGCCCAAAGCAUGUUUUGAGUUUGUUAAGUUGCGUAUCAUUGAUCUCUCCCAUAACAGAUUUGCAGGUAAUCUCCCUUCAAAGCACUUCGAGUGUUGGAAUGCCAUGAAAGAUGUCAAUGCAAAUAACCUAACAUAUUUGCAAAAUCGUCUGCUGGGACCCGGCGGUUAUCCUGCGCUUACUUAUUAUGGGUUUUCUUAUGACUCGCUGACAUUGAGUAACAAAGGCACAGAGUUGGAAUAUGAGAAGCUCUCAAAUCUGAUCACAGCAAUUAUUCUCUCUAACAACACUUUUGUAGGAAAGAUUCCAACAUCAAUUGCUAAUUUGAAGGGGCUUCGGACUCUCAACCUUUCCAACAACAAUCUCCAAGGUCAUAUUCCACCAACUUUGGGUAACCUAAUUGUGAUCGAGUCAUUGGACCUCUCCAAUAACAAGCUCUCUGGACAAAUUCCUCAACAACUUGGAGAGUUGACGACACUUGAAGUCUUUGAUGUAUCCGAUAACCUGCUCACAGGGCCAAUACCACACGGGAAACAAUUCAACACAUUUGGGAAGGGUUCAUUUGAUGGAAAUCCAGGAUUGUGUGGACAACCUUUGUCAAAAAAAUGUGACAACUCUGCGACUUCACCACCAGAAGAAGACCCACGCUCAGAAUCUCUAUUUGCAUUUGGCUGGAAGACAGUUCUGAUCGGAUAUGCAAGUGGGACAGUAAUAGGAGUGGUACUCGGGCACAUCUUCAGCACAAGAAAGUAUGAAUGGCUUGCCAAGACCUUUCGACUGCAACAGAAAACUAAUGGGAAGAGGAGGAGAGUCAGCAGACAAAGGCAACGGAUGUAAUUAACCUUUUUUUCUUUUUCUUUUACGAAAGGCCUACUUUGUUGGGCUUUAAAUUUCUUUUUCCUUCUUUUCUCCGAAGUUUAAUAAACCUUGUAUUAUUGUACAUAUACUAUGUUGUUAAUGCAAGUGGGCUAAUAAUUUGGUGGUUCUUGGCCACUUUACCUUCAGCAUAGUGCACGGGCAAAUAUGAAUUGGUCGUCUGCUUCUUUUUUAGUUUUAAUUCAGUACCUUGUUAUUAUCCUGAUUUGAUUGAAUGAUCAUGUCUUUAAUUAACACAAUUUACACUAAUAGUUGUAAAAGAUCAGUGCAGCAUUCUCUUUUUCCGAAUUUGAAAGGAUGUGAUUUCGAAAAAAAAUCAUAUAACUGAUGAUCAGGUCCUACUGAUUUUGGCAUCGGCACAAAGGUCGGGGAAUUUUUUGUGUUUUACUUUUCAUAAUUUCCAUUAUAUAUAUUCUCUAGUUUUAUGGGGCAAUAACACCGAAAUCAGCUAAAAAAUCGCUUAAAAUUAAAAAUUAAUUUCUCAAAGAGUUCUCUAUCAAUGCAGAUAGAAUUAAGUUUUUGAAGCAUCAAAAACUUAAUUCGAGUGCCUGCUGUAAAAUAAAAUCAUUAGUCAUCAAAUAUGUGCCAAUAAGAUAAUUGGUAAACAUUAACUAUCAUCAAAAUUCAAUCACAAAGUUAGAAGUGGCGCAAAAGGAAUUUGAAAUAGAAAUACCUUUAACAAGUUGUUGAAACGUAAAAAUAUAGUAAACAUGAGUGUUGCUUAUUUUAGCCUCUGUUUGAUAAAAUUUCUCAAGUAGAAAUUAUUUAAUUAGAGCUUUUACAUUACCAAAAGAAAAAAGUACUUACCAAAAAUAUUUGAGUUGUUUGGUUGUCAAAGAGAGAUGUUAUAAAAAAAUAUACAAUUACUUUAAUAGAUAAGUUUUUUAAAAUUAUGUUAUGAAAGGAUGAAAUAAGAUUAUUAAAUAAAUUAAGGAUACUUUAGAUAGUUUAACUCUUUAAAAAAAAUAAUUUACAACCUCUACUUCCAAAAUCAUAAAAUUUAAACUUUUAUUAAUGGAGGCAAAAUAGAUUAUCUCCAAAAUCUCUACUCAAAAUAUAACUAAACAAUACUAAAUUAAAAAAUAUAUAUAGAAUUAAAUGAAUACUUUUGACUAUUGGAUAAGUCAAAUGAAACAAAAAUAUGUACUGCUUUUUCAGAGCAGCGCCAGCUUUCAAAGCUUAGGCAAAUGGGUGAAGUUUUAAGUUUCAACCCCAAUCAUUAAGUUGAUGUAGUUAAGAUCAAUGUUUGACUCUCCAUUACCAAAAGCACAUUUUAUCAAUGCAUGCAAUAGUAGUGCAUCCAGUUGUCUUUGUAAUUCUUAAUAUUUUCUAAGAAAUUUAGCAGCCUUAAUUUAAACUAAAACUGUCGUGAUUUCGGAUAAUUUCUGGUUAACAUUAUGGACGAGUGGAAGUACCACAGUAAGAGUAUGUGAUCAACUUCAUAAUUUGUCUCCAGGUCUUACUUAUUACUUAAUUCUGGCGCACGCCAUUGACAAUUAAAAUUAAAGAAUCCAUGUGGUCAGGGGUCAGGGAUAAUCAUAAUUCAGUGUAGACAAAAAGCAUGGUUAAUAGCCAGCAAGGGAGAAAGGCUAGAUUGGUUUUCUUUUUCUUUUUUCUUUUAAAUGUAAUCUUUCAAUUUUAUCCUCCAUAAUAAUAUAUCUAUAUAAUUUUUUCGAAAAUUAUCUCUACCCCACUUUUGUUUUGUCAUAUGUAUAAUCUCAUCACCUCAAAAUUUUGCCAUAUUCUUCACACCACCUUUAUUUUUAAGUUUUUUUCAAUAAACUACUUUGACACUAUAAAAUGAUCAUUUUACCCUUAAAUGAAUGAAACAACUAUUUUAUUAUACAAAAUUUUAAAAAAUAAAAAAAAAAUUAUAAUUACAAGAAUACCCCUGAAUUUAAUAAAAUAAAUCUCAAAUCUAAUAUGUUAAUUUUUUUAUAAUUACAAUUUCAUUUAAAAAUUAUCAUGUUAAUUUUUUGUAAUUAUAAUUUCAUUCAAUUUCUAUAGAGAAGUUUCUUAAUAUUAAUUAUAGGGAAGUUUAUAAUAAUUAUAGGGAGUUUUUCUCUCCAUGUUAAUUUUGGUAAACUUCCCUAUACCUGAUUUAAUUAUAAAAAUUAAAUGAAAUUAUAAUUACAAAAAAUUAUGAUUGCAAGGUGUUAAUUUUUUAUAAUUAUAAUUUCAUUUAAAAAUUAUCAUCUAAGAUUUUGAGAUUUGUUUGUUUUAUUGAAUUUAGAGGUAUUCCUAUAGAUAUACUUUUUUAUUUUUUAAAAUUUUCUCGAAUAAAAUAAUCUUUUAAUUCAUUUAGGGGUAAAAUGAUUUUUUUUAGUGUAAAAGUGAUCAAUUGAUAUAAGUUUAGAAAUAAGAUAGUGAAAAAAAUAAUUUAAAAUUUUUUAAUGAUUAAAUAUACAUACGACAAAAUAAAAGUGGUUCAAAGAUAAUUUUCGUAACUUUUUUUUCUUAAUUUAUAUGAUGUUCUGGACCAAGCGCUUGUUUACAAAAUUUUGCCAAAUUCACCGAAUUAUACUAACAAAAAAGGACCAUUUUCGUGACUAGCUUUAUUUUGAACCCAUGACAAUGGCUCUCUAUUCCAACUCUCGCAUCCACAAACCAUCGUUUUUUUUUUUUUUUUUGUUCUUCCAAAUCUCUAGAUACAACUCAUAGAAAGAACCUAAAAUUUACAUAAAAGAACGGCAUGUGGUUGAUAGAUGCCCAGCACAAUCCCAUAUUUAAUUUUCUUAAGCAACCUUUGUACGUAUAAUAAUUUUGUUCCAACCAAGUUUGGGGGUGAAUUCUCAAAAGCCAUUUGGGUUGAUGCUAUCUCCUCUUGAUAGUAUAGACAAAAGCAUGGUCAAUAGCCGAAUAGGAAGAAUACGACACUCAGAAAGAACUUAAAAUUUUUUAAUCCUAAAAGAAGAUUUGAUUGUGAAUUAAUCCCAGUAACAUCACAUUUGGCACCGCCUAUAAAAACAUCUCAAUUCUAUGCCUGACCCUCCAAACAAAAUCCUCCAGCCUUCCUAUUAUAGAAAGUUUUAAAAGGAAUUGUGUUUAAUAAGAAAUUAUGGGGUUAUUCUUAUUUUCCUUCACUUUAAUGCACAUACUUCUUCUGCUCUCAAUGUUUCAGCACACGCUUGCUGACUUGCAGCCACUCUACCAGGAUGACGAGCGUUCUGCCUUGCAGCAAUUCAAGCAAAGCCUUACCGUCGUUCAGUGUUCUUUUGAUGAUUAUUCUUCAGCUUAUCCCAAGGUUGCAUCAUGGAGCCAGGAAGAAGAAAAUAGUGACUGCUGCUUAUGGGACGGCAUCAAAUGCAACGAAGACACUGGUCAUGUGAUCAGGCUUGAUCUCACAAGCAAUUGCCUCUAUGGUUCUAUCAACUCUAGCAGCAGCCUCUUUCAACUUUUCCAUCUGGAAUGGCUUGUUCUCUCGAAUAACCACUUCAAUUUUUCUAAAAUCCCUUCAAAAAUCAAGAAUCUGUCAAGACUAAUAGCUCUAUCUCUCUAAUUCUUCGUUUUCUGGUCAAAUACCAGCAGAGUUGCUAGAGCUCUCCAAGUUGGAGAGUCUUGAUCUUGUUAGAGAUAUAAAUGCAAAGAAUAUUCUCGUGAUGGUUCUGCUGAUGUGGCAGUUGAGUAAGCAAGGUUGUUAUUGUUACUUUGUAAGUUUGUUAUAGAGCUGGGAAAAUUAGUUAAUUACAACUUAUUCUUUACACGUGUGUGAGCAAAUGUAGAAGGUUCUGGAUCUCAGUAUAUAAGCUCACUUUCUGUACUCAUAAUAAGUUGAAUAAGAUUUGAUCUGUUUUCUUAUAUUUUCUCUUAAUGCUCAUUAAAUUUUCCAUCACUUUCUCUGCAACCAAACAAGCACAAAAUAGCUUGAUUAAACUUCAAUUUGGUAUCAGAGCUAGAUUUAGUCUAAUCUCAUGGCGUUAUCAAGCUUGAACACAAACAUCUCUUCUUCGGCAACAACCUUUACCUUCACAACUCCAAUAAAACUUGACCGAUCAAAUUACUUAAUCUGGAAAUCUCAAAUCCUAUCUUCAGUUCGAGCAAAUGAACUUGAGAGUGUGCUUGAUGGAUCCAGAAUCUGUCCAGAUCAAUUUCUCUCAAGCACUCAAGGAAAUUCAGAUGCUAUCUUCAAUGCUUUUGUAAGUUCAACUGUUGCUUCACGAGAGAAUCCUAAGUUUACUUUGUGGAGAAAGCAAGAUCAGAUGUUACUGAGCUGGCUAUUAUCCUCUAUCAGCGUUGAAAUCCUCAGUCUUGUGGUAAACUCUAAAACUUCUUAUGAAAUGUGGUCUAGUUUAGAGCAACAAUUUGGAUCUGAAACUGCUGCUAAGAAAGUUCAUCUCAAAAUGAUGUUGAAUAAUCUGAAGAAAGGAUCUAUGACUAUGACAGAAUAUUUUAGUAAGUUGAAGUCAGUUACUGAUGAGCUUGCUAUUGCUGGAAGUCCUAUUAGUUCUUUGGAUUUUAUAACUAAUCUCAUCUCUGGAUUAGGUCAGCCUUAUUAUCCAGUAGUUGUGUAUAUUGAAGCAAAUGUUUUAAAAAUGAGUAUUAAUGAGGCUUAUUCAAUGUUGUUGACACAUGAGGCACGUUUAGAAAGUAAUCAAUCUAAUGCUUUCAAGGAAGUGAAACAGAACUAUGCUGCUAACUUAGCUCAGGCUGGAAACAAUCAAAAGAAAAUUAAUAAUCAGGGAGGCUAGAAUAACAAUAAUCAAGGAGGCUGGAAUGGAAACACUGGAAACAAAACUGGAUUUAAUAAUUGGAAUGGAAAUUUUACAAACAGAGGAGGUUUCAAUCCAGGAAGGGGACAAAAUUCAGGCAGAGGACAAUGGAAUAAUAACUGGAAUAACUGGAAUGGAAAUCAAUGUAGAGGUAAUUUUGCUGGUGCUGCUGGAAAAUUUUUUGGUGGAUUUCCUGGUGGUUUUAAUGGAUUUGGAAGAGGAGGAGGCAAAGGAAGUAUUGUUUGUUAUAUUUGUUUCAAGCACAAUCAUACUGCAGCUUAUUGUAAAGACAUAUUUAACAGAAACUUUGUUCCAAAUUUUUCUGUGCAAGAGAAUUUUCCAGGUCAGAAUCAAACUUCCAAAGCUGCUUUCAUGGCUACAUUAGAAGGAGUUGCUGACCAAGGAUGGUAUCUGGAUAGUGGAGCAACACAUCAUCUUACAAACAAUGUGGAGAACUUAGCUGAAGGUAAACCUUAUUUUGGAUCUCAGUUGCUGUUAGUUGGUAAUGGACAAGGUCUUAGAAUCACUUACAUAGGCAAUAUAUGUCUCUUUACAUCAUUAGGUAAUCAGUUAAACCUUUCUAAUGUUCUGUGUGUUCCCAAAAUUACCAAAAAUCUCAUUAGCUUGUCUAAACUUCUCUCUGACAAUCAUAUAACCAUUGAAUUUGUUUCCAAUCUUUGUUUCAUUAAGGACAAGAUGCAAGAAACUUUGCUGGCACAGGGGAUUGCUGAAGAUGGUCUCUUUAAUCUACUGUCUCAAGAUACACCUAUUCCUGAUUCUAAAGCUUUGGGUUUAAAACCUAGUUCAAUGUUGUCUGUCUUUUCAAAUAAAAAGAUUGUACACUCUUUGAAAGAGUUGAAUAACCAAACAAAUGUCUGUUCCAAUUUGAUCAAUUCCAAUAAUGAGAAUUCUGUCAGUUUUUUAGCUUCCAGUAGUGAGUCUAUGCAGUUGUUGCACAAUAGGUUUGGUCAUCCAACCAAACAUGUUUUGCAAACAAUAAUGAAAAGUCUCCCCAUGCAUUCAAUCCAUUCUCAAUCUCUUAACUUUUGUGAUGCUUGUCAAUAUGGCAAAUUACAUCAAUUUCAUUUUCCAGUCACUGAUAUAAAAUUAAAAUUCCCUCUCCAACUCUUAUAUGCUGAUUUAAGGGGUCCAACUUCUGUGUUGUCCAUGGAUGGAUACAAGUACUAUAUUUCUUUUGUUGAUGAUUUCACCAGAUAUUGUUGGAUAUUUCCACUCACACUCAAAUCUGAGGCAUUUGACACCUUCAAACACUUCAAGUCCCUUGUAGAAAAACAGUUUUCUUUAUCCAUCCAAACACUACAAACUGAUAUGGGGGGUGAGUUUAUAGCUUUCAAAUCAUUUCUACAACAAAAAGGUAUUCAGUUUAGAUAUAGUUUCCCCCAUACUCACCAUCAAAAUGGUGUGGUUGAAAGGAAGCAUAGGCAUAUUGUUGAAACUGGACUUACACUCUUAGCUCAAGCUCACUUACCUCUCUCUUUUUGGUGGGAAGCUUUUCAUACAGCCACCUACUUAAUUAAUAGAAUGCCAACACCUGUUCUCAACAAUUUCUCUCCUUUUCAGAAACUAUACAAUCAGCUUCCAGAUUACAAAUUUCCUAAAGUGUUUGGUUGUUUAUGUUUUCCUUUUCUUCGACCUUAUAAUCAGCACAAGCUAGAUUUUCAUACUCAGAAAUGUGUCUUUAUUGGUUACAGUCCCAUUCAUAAGGGCUACAAGUGUCUUGAUCGAACUGAGAAAGUUUUUGUUGCCAGACAUGUUACUUUCAAUGAACAGGAAUUUCCAUAUUCUGAACUGUUUUUGAAAAACAAGUCAAACAUCUUCUCUCAUUCUGAUUUCUCCACUCCAUCUUCAGUUCAUUUUUCUCUUCCUCAAACACCUGUUCUCAGUAACAGUAGCAAUGAAGAGCCAUCAGCUAUGUCUCCAGUCCUGCUUUGUCUUCUGCAUCAGAGUCUCAUUCCUUGCAAAAUUCUUUUCAUUCACAAUCCCUUGAUCUAUCUUCAAGACUUUCAAAUUCUUCUCCACCAGUACUCUCUACUCAUCAUAUGGUUACCAGAUCUAAAGCUGGUAUCUACAAACCCAAAACCUAUCUAGCUGAUUCUCAAGACCUUAAACCAUCCAAUGUCAAAACAGCAUUGGCAGAUCCUAGGUGGUACUCAGCUAUGAAAGAAGAAUUUGAAGCUCUCCAAAGAAAUCAAACUUGGUCAUUAGUGCCUCCAGAAACAGCUGGGAAAAUUGUUGGAGAUAAAUGGGUUUACAGAGUCAAGUAUAAUGUUGAUGGAAGUAUUUCCCGGUAUAUAGCUCGGUUGGUUGCCAAGGGAUAUCAUUAAACUUAUGGGGUUGAUUUCUUUGAGACCUUUAGCCCUGUGAUCAAGCCUUGUACUGUCAGAAUCAUUUUAAGCUUAGCAGUCAUGAAUCAUUGACCUAUUAAACAGCUGGAUGUAAAUAAUGCUUUUCUAAAUGGCAUUCUUGCUGAAGAUGUGUACAUGCAUCAAACACAAGGGUUUGUUGAUUCCACCUAUCAUUCUUAUGUUUGUAAGCUUAACAAGGCAUUAUAUGGUCUUAAACAGGCUCCCAGAGCCUGGUAUGACAGAUUAAAGAAGUCACUGGUUCAAUGGGGUUUUCAUGUCUCAAACUCUGACACUUCUCUAUUCAUUAAGCAUGCAGGGAAAGAUAUACUGCUCAUUCUCAUUUAUGUGGAUGAUAUUUUAGUCACAGGCUCAAAUUCGAAGCUCAUUGGCAAUGUUAUUCAGCAGUUACACUCAGAGUUUGCCUUGAAGGAUCUGGGGGAUUUUCAUUAUUUUCUUGGUAUAGAAGUUACUCCAUCUGUUCAAGGUAUUCAUCUCUCUCAAACUAAAUAUAUUGGUGAUAUUCUUCAAAGGGAAAAUAUGCUAGACAGUAAAGGUUGUGCUACACCUAUGAGUACUUCUGAAAAACUGCACAAGGAUAAAGGUGCUGCAUUUAAAAAUCCAUCUUUAUACAGAAGUAUUGUGGGCUCUCUUCAAUAUGUUUUGUUAACUAGACCUGACUUAGCUUUCACAGUCAACAAGCUUAGUCAGUUUUUAUCAGCUCCCACCAUACUUCAUUGGCAAGCAUGCAAGAGGGUGUUGAGAUAUCUUCAAAGUAUAGCUGAUUAUGGUCUUCAGUUCUUCAACUUUGGUUCUUUAACUUUAAUAGCCUACUUUGAUGCUGAUUAGUGUUGUGCAAAUUUUAAUGUACUCGCAAGCGCACGAAUCUAUUGUAGUAUAGAUCUAUGGUGACGAGUGUCGAUCCCACGAGGAGGUGGAUUUUAAUUGUGUAGAAUUAAUUUUGUAAAUGGGUUGUUGGAUUUAUGGUGGAAAUGAUUUGGUAUAUGCUAAAACUUAAAUUAAAAUGGCGAGAAUAAAUUCUAAAAUUGGAAUUGCAAUGGCGAGAAUAAAUUGAAGAGAAUUCUAUUGAAAUGACGUACUUGGGUAUCUGGAUCCGUAUCAACAUGCAUCAUGGGCUAAAUAUUCCUUAUUAAUACCAAUUAAAUCAUGAGGGGGGAAUCCACACCGCAUGAACCACGCUCUAAUCAAUAUGGUGCUAAGGGCUUAUCGUGCCAAAUAAUAAUAACCUUGUACUAGAGGGCCGGUGUAACCAAGGCGGUACUAGACAAGAUUAGUAUUAUUUGUCGACGAGAAGUCAAAACAUCCACAAAAACUAGAGGGGAUGAGAAAAUAAAUUUACCAAAUAAAGCCCAUGACACAUGUUGAGACUUCACCUUCAACCCAAGCUUGAAAGAAAAUUAGCCACUCAUAAUUGAACUAGGGGCAAAAUGGGAAUUUAUUAAAAUACGAAGAAAAUACAAGAUGGAGAAGGAAUUACAGAAAAUGGAUCCCAAAAAUGGAUUCAGAGAUAUCCAAUUAGGGGGGGGAGACCCCCUUUUUAUAGAUACAUGGAGUAAAUCAUGGCCAUCGGAUUAAAAACAGUUUGGACGCUCAGGAUUGCGCCAUGUCAUCAGUCAACAGUCCACGGUUUGACCACGCGGAUGAACAGUAACACGGUUUGACCCGACUUUGAACAGUAACGCGGUUUGACCCGGAUGAACAGUAACACGGUUUGGUUGAAAAUAAUCCUGUGUGAUGCAUGCACCGUACACGAGAUUUUUCGUCCACUGAUAUGCUGCCACGUCACCAUCAACAGUACAUAAGAAUUUUAGUCCAACAGGAUCGUGACACCUCAUCAGUCAAUGCCACAUCAUCGGUCAAUGCCACGUCAUCGAUCCGUCUAUGUGAACAGUGUCGUGAACAGUAACGUAGACAGUACCGUAUACGUGAAUAGUACCGUACAUGUGAAUAGUGCCAUUUUUCCUUUUAUGCUCCUCCUAAGGUUUUCGACCGUCCCGAGUUCAAAAGUGAUGUCCGUUUUGCCGUCUGAUCUCUCCUUUAUUGUGAAAUGGCUAUACUGCCCCUAAAAUACAUAAAAUACUUAAUUAAAAUAACACACACGUAAUUACAUCACAAGAAGGUUAAAUACAUAAAAGUAAGGGUUGUUAGUAAGACUUGAAAUGUAAAAUGACGGUUUUCUCCUUUAUAAAUAUGCAUUUUCUAACACUCAACAAUUAGGGCUCAGAUCCUGAUGAUCGCAGAUCUGUUGGAGGUUAUUGUGUGUUUUUGGGUUCCAAUCUUAUCUCUUAGUCCUCUAAGAAGCAGCCCAUUGUGUCCAGAUCAUCAGCUGAGUCUGAGUAUCGGGCUCUUGCUUUGGCUACUUCAGAGGUUCUCUGGAUUACAUAUUUAUUUCAAGAGCUUAACAUAUCUUUUGAUCAGACUCCUCUUCUGCAUUGUGAUAACAAAAGUGCUAAACCUCUGGCUAGUAAUCCUAAAUAUCAUGCUCGUACUAAGCAUAUUGAGUUAGAUAUUCAUUUUCUCAGAGAGCAUAUUGCUCAACAGCAACUUUCAGUCACUUAUGUUCCGAGUUCAGAACAAUUAGCAGAUGUUCUUACUAAGCCCCUCUAUUUCGAUCAGUUUGCUUAUUUGCGCAGCAAGCUUAAUGUCAUUUCACGACAUCAAGCUUGAGGGGGGAUGUUAGAGAUAUAAAUGCAAAGAAUAUUCUUGUGAUGGUUCUGCUGAUGUGGCAGCUGAGUAAGCAAGGUUGUUAUUGUUAGUUUGUAAGUUUGUUAUAGAGCUAAGAAAAUUAGUUAAUCACAGCUUAUUCUUUACACGUGUGUGAGCAAAUGUAGAAGGUUCUGGAUCUCAGUAUAUAAGCUCACUUUCUGUACUCAUAAUAAGUUGAAUGAGAUUUGAUCUGUUUUUCUAAUAUUUUCUCUUAAUGCUCAUUAAAUUUUCCUUCACUUUCUCUACAACCAAACAAGCACAAAUAGCUUGAUUAAACUUCAAUUGAUCUAUCAUUUAAUAAUUUUCAUUUGAAGCUCCAAAACCCGAGUCUAGCAAAUCUAGCAGAGAAGUUAGCCAACCUGAAAGUACUUCACCUUGGACAAGUCAAUAUUGCUUCUACAGUUCCUCAUGCAUUGGCAAAUCUAUCAUCUUUGUUUUUCUUAUCUCUCACUGAUUGCCUAUUGCAAGGUGAAUUCCCCACAGAGAUUUUCCAGUUACCCAAACUUGCAUUUCUUACUCUGACGUAUAAUCACUAUCUCACUGGGUAUUUGCCAGAAUUUCAGAAUAGCAGUGUCCUCAUAGAUUUGAGGCUUUCACAUACGCGAUUUUCAGGUAAGAUUCCAGAUUCAGUAGAAAAUCUUGAAUCCUUAGAUUCCUUGGGUAUUAGAGGUUGCUCAUUUUCAGGAAAACUUCCUCCUUCAGUUGGUAAUCUUACGAAGCUCAACCAUCUAUACCUUUCUGGUAAUGAUUUUUCGGGUGAGUUGCCUGCUUUCUUGGGAAAACUUUCUUCUUUGAAAAUGCUAGAGAUCAUUUUAUGCAACUUCUCUGGCAAAGUUCCGGAUUCACUUGGUAACCUUAUUUGUUGUCUUGGAUCCCUAAACUUAACCAACUCACUUAUUUGGACCUUUUAGGGAGCAAAAUAACUGGUGAUAUCUUAUGUCUGCUCUCGAAUUUUUCUGAACAAAACUCUUAUUCGUUGUCUUGCAUCCCUAAACUUAACCAACUCACUUAUUUGGACCUUUCAGGGAGCAAAAUAACUGGUGAGAUCUUAUGUCUGCUCUCGAAUCUAACAGAACUUGCUCAAAUAAGUUUGGCUCAUAACCAAUUAAUUGGUCCAAUCCCCUUUUGAUUUAUGAACCUGAACAAGUUAUCAACUAUGUACUUACAUUAUAAUCAACUGACUGGCCAUAUUCCAGUUGAAGUUAGAAAGCUAAACCAAUUGCAGAUCCUGCGUUUGGCGGAGAAUCAAUUGGAAGGCUCUGUUCCUAACUCUAUCUUUGAGCUAAGGAAUCUUCAAGCGCUUGACCUUUCCUACAACAUUUUGAGUGGCACAGUGGAUUUAAACAUGUUCCUUCUUAACUUGAAAUCUUUAACAUCAUUAGUUCUCUCGUCAAACAAGUUUUCAUUGCUCACUGGAACCAAUGACAGUACUAAUUUGCCAAAUUUCACUGUAAUAGGAUUCAGGUCAUGCAUCAUUAGCGAGUUCCCAUAUUUUUUGCACAACCAAGAUCAAUUAGUUUCUCUGGAUCUUUCCUCCAACAAGAUAGCUGGCCAAGUACCCCAAUGGUUGUUAAACGUAAGCACAAAGAGUUUGGAAUAUUUGAACUUUUCUGACAACCUAUUGUCGGGAUUCGGGCAGGAUCUCUUUGUUCUUCCAUUGUCUAAAAUGAAUACUUUAGACCUUGGGUUUAAUAAGCCCAAAGGACCGCUCCUAGUUCCGUCAUCAGUGUCAAUCUAUUCCUAUCUAGUUUCAAACAAUCAGUUGACCGGUGAAAUUCCAAUCCAAAUAUGUAGUUUGAAUGGUCUUCACGCUCUUGAUUUGUCGUACAACAACUUAAGUGGCAUGCUCCCAGAAUGUUUGGGUAAUUUCAGUGUUGAGUUGUCAGCACUAAAACUGCAAGCUAACAACUUUUAUGGAAUCAUCCCUCAAACCUUCAUGAACGGAACAAAUCUGAUGAUGAUUGAUUUUAGCAACAAUUCAUUGCAAGGAAGAGUACCUAAAUCUCUAGCCAAUUGUGUGAAGCUAAAAUUUCUUAAUCUUGGGGAUAACCAAAUCACCGAUGUCUUCCCUUCUUGGUUAGGAACUCUUCCAGAGCUGGAGGUUCUCAUUUUGAAAUUCAACAACUUUCAUGGAGAAAUAGAGGAACCUAAAACAGGUUUUGGGUUUCCCAAGCCGCGCAUCAUUGAUCUCUCUCACAACAGGUUUACAGGUAAUCUUCCGUCAAAGCACUUCCAUUGUUGGAAUGGCAUGAAAGAUAUCAAAGCAAGUGAGCUAACAUAUUUGCAGGUUAAACUCAUGCCGUAUGAUGUACUUGGGUUUACCUACUAUGGCUAUGCUGAUUACUCACUAAUAAUGAGUAACAAAGGGAUAGAGAUAGAAUAUCCCAAGCUGUCAAAUUUGAUCACAGCAAUUAUUCUCUCCGACAACAAUUUUGUUGGAGAGAUUCCAGCAUCAAUCGCUAGUUUAAAGGGGCUUCGGACUCUUAACCUUUCCAACAACAAUCUCUGAGGGUACAUUCCAUUAACUUGGAGUAACCUAACGGUCAUGGAGUCAUUAGACCUCUCUAGUAACAUGCUCACAGGACAAAUUCCUCAGCAACUAGUAGAGCUCACAUCCCUUGCAUUCUUUGAUGUGUCACACAACCAUCUUAAGGGAGCAAUACCACAAGGGACGCAGUUCAGCACAUUCACGAAUGAUUGGUUUGCUGGAAAUCCAGGAUUGUGUGGAGAACCUUUGUCUAGAAAAUGCAAAAACUUUGAGGCCUCACCAGCAGAAGAUGCUCCACCCUCAGAAUUUGUACUCGCAUUUGGCUGGAAGAUAGUUCUGGCAGGGUAUGCAAGUGGGACAAUAAUAGGAGUAGUACUUGGGCACAUCUUCUGCACAAGAAAGUAUAAAUGGCUUAUAAAGACUUUUCGACUGCAACCGGAAAGUAAUGGAAAGAGGAGAAUACAUAGGCAAAGAAUGUAAUUAAUUGGCUUUUAUUUAUUUAUUUAUUUUAUGAAUUACUCUGUAAAGACUUUAAAAAUCAUGUAGAAAUUUUUCUUUUUCUUCCAAUUUCAUUAAAUCUCUUUAUAUUAUCGUACUAUUAUUAUGAUUUCACAAUUAGAGUCCAUAUGAAAUUAUUUUUGAGAGAUUUAAAGGUGAUUUUAAAAAGUUAAAAGUUAAUUUUAGCAUUUGAUAAAUUUUUUUAAAAAUCAUUUUCGACAAAAUCACCUUGUCCUAUGACCAAAGAGUAGCUUUUCAAAAUCUGAUUUUAAAAAUUAGUUUUAUACUUAAACAAUUUCGUAUAUAUCCUAAUAUAUGUUAUAAAAAUCCAAAAUUAUCUUUUAUUCAAUUAGGAAAUAAAAUCAUUACAUUUAAAGAAAUUAUUAUUAUAUUGAGAUAACAAAAUCAAUAUGGUUAAUUUGUUUUAGGUACGAAUUAUUCUAUAUGCACAUAAAAUAUUACUAUAUACACGUUAUUAUAAAAUAAAUGCAUGGGUAAAUAAAUUUUAUAACUUUAUGUCUAAUUAAGUCAUUUCUAUUCAUACAGUAAUUUAAAAACGAGACUUACCAAAUAUAAAUUACUACUUAACUAAUUUACAAAACGCCUUUAAAAAUAAAAUUUACCAAGCUUUGACUAAUUUUUUUUACAAUUUUUUAACAACUAAUUAUUUCUAUAUCACAACUAAUAACAAUUAUUUUAAAAACUAUAACAUUACCAUUCUAGUCAUAAAUCUAAAAAACGUUUGUAUGUAAUUAUUUACGAAACCUAUUAGUUAAUCACCAUGUGGCUGAUCGAACAUCAAUUAAUACAUAAAUCAUUGAGAUGACAGGCACGUCAAACAUAUAGUAAAAUCACUCAAAUUUGGUUCUGAAAUGCCGUAAGAGUACUAAAUAAAAUAACAAAGGAGGAUGAAAACACAGAGUGGCACCGGCUCUGUAUGCUUACAGCUUUGCUAAAAGUGCAUUUUGGCAAUGGCGUAAAGCAACCAAUUUUAUUUAGUCGAAAAGCUCUUUUGGCGUAGCUAGCUACUACCACAUCAUCCAAGAAUUUAUGCUAGAACUAUUAUAGUACCCCAAAAUAUAUAAAAGUGCAUUUUGGCAAUGGCGUAAAGCAACCAGUUUUAUUUAGUCGAAAAGCUCUUUUGGCGUAGCUAGCUACUACCACAUCAUCCAAGAAUUUAUGCUAGAACUAUUAUAGUACCCCAAAAUAUAUCAACUUAUAUAUAUCAACUUAUUAUUUAAAUCCAGACAGUUUGCAAAGAUCCAAAGUUCAUUUAUUCACAAAACUUAAAUUUCCUUUUAUAUGCCUAUUAUUAUUCACCUGUUUAUAUUGAUCACCAACUUACAAUCAAAAUCAAAUCAUUCAACCUCCCAAAUGAUACAUCAUCCAUAAGAAUUCAAGCCUCGGUACCAUGUAGGUCAAGGAAUAUUGCGCCAUAGCACAAAUUAUCAGGCACCGGAAUGAGUAACUGCUGUGCUGUUCAUAUAACCAGCCCUGUCAUGGGUUUAUGGUGAAUAAGUAUGUAAAACAACCCAAGUUUUUGGCCAUUCAUGAAUCCUCUCCACUAAGAUCUCCCCAUCGAACAUUGUACUUGGCAGCAAGAUAAUGUGCUCCAACUGGUCCUCGGCUACCAUAAGGAUAAAGCUCUGGAACAAUCUUCUUCUCUUCAAGUUCCUUCAGUAAUGGUGUAAACAACGCCCAGGCAGCAUCAAGCUCAUCACUCUGAAUAAACAACCUCCGUUCACCUUCUAUUGCAUCUAAGACCAGCCUCUCAUAUGCAUCUGGUAUUUCUGUUGGAUACCUUCACAUCAAAACUAAAGAAUUAAAGUGAUGCUCUCCAAAACCAAAAGAAGAACAAAAGAUAAUACAGAUGCACAAUUGCUCCAUCAAUUUGGCCAGGUCUGCAGAUGGAUAUUACUAAGGUAAAAUGGUCAGGACAUGAGAUUAAUACAGUCCCCUUACUUUUAAUAUUAAUUAGGAUUUUAUACAAAUUCUUUUAAAAUAAAACAUUAAAGAAUUCAAUCCUUACAUGUGCUAUAAAAUAAUUACGAAACAUGAAUAAAGACAUUCCAAGGCUUAUCACUUGAGAAGAUUUUAUGAAAUUGAUGCUCACAGUCCCACUCCAUAAUUGAGUAUUCUAGGUCAUAUAUUACAUAGUUAAGAUUGCAAGUAUCAUUUGUAGGUAAUUGUCUAAAUAGUCUCUUACCUUGAUCGAUAAAGCAAAUUAAGGUCGCUGCGAUCCAAUCUCAUUCCAAGACCAGGAAGUUUGUUGUUGAUCUUCAGGUAUAUAGCUUCAUCAGGAUGGAGUCGGAGCACAAGCUCAUUUGUAGUCUUGUCUAAGUCAGUUCCAAAAUUCCGCUUGUACAGGUUUCCAGGGACAUGUCUGAACUGAACUCUGAUCUCUGCACUGAAGUUUCAUUGACACAACAUUCUCAAGUCAACCAGUUAAGCAUAUUCUACAAUAUAUAGUGAAAGAAUAGAUCCUCAUGAAAAGGGAAGAAAUACUGCCUACCGUUUGGUAUGGAGCGCUUUGCCUGCUUUCAUCAGGAAAGGAACCCAUCCCAUCUUGCAUUGUUGAUAAAAAGAGCAGCCGCGGCAAAUGUUGGCGUGAGACUACCCUUUGGCACAGUUGGGUCAUCAGUAUAUGCAGGAUAUGAUUUACUACCCUUGUUGUGGCCCUUGUAUUGACCAACAAUUACAUUUUCAAGCAGAAGCGGUUGCAUUGAUCUAAGAACCUUCACCUGAAUGAAGCCACACACAACAAAGUCAAUGAUUAACUUAAAACAAUAGCAAGGAGUGUAGCAUUUCCAUAACCCACCAUGGGAUUUAAUUCUUCUUUGGUGGUGAUGGUGGUGUGUGGCUAUACCUUAAAAUAGGAUCUCUAGCAAUCAUAGAAAUGGUACACAAAGAAGAACAGGAGACCACAAUUCUGGUUCGUAAAAUUUGUAGAAGAAAGGAAGACCGAAUUACCUUUUCAUUUCUAAUGUCUUCCGCAUCUAAGCUGACGGGAGUCUCCAUUGCAAAUAAUGCCAAUAUUUGCAAGAGAUGAUUUUGCAUUAUAUCUCGUAUGAUUCCAUAGUUAUCAAAAUAACUGGAAAAAUUUACCAAUAAAAUCAGCUGAUCUGGGUGUCUGAAACAACUUCUAGUAUAAUAACAAUAUCUUCAGGCAACAUAUACAACUCACCCCCCUCGUCCCUCUGUACCAAAAUCUUCAGAAAAUAUAAAUUGUACAUUGCGGAUGUAAUUCCUGGACCAUAGAGGCUCGAAAACAAGAUUGGAGAAUCGAAGCACUGAUAGAUUCUCAACCAACUCCUUACCCAAGUAAUGGUCAAUCCUGAAAAGAUAUCAAUAGAGUCAAACAUCAUCACGCAUCUUUCUUUAAGGAAGCAAAUGAGAGACAAACCUGAAUAUUUGAUCCUCUCUUAGAUACUGCUUCAAACUUCUAGUUAACUCGCCAGAAGACUCAAGAGUCCCGACCAAAUGGUUUUUCAACAAUGACUCUUGUCCAACCAGUUGCUGAUGAAGCUCUAAGGCUAGCACAUUUCGCCACAUCCACAAAAAUGUUUGGAGGUAUUGAUGAGUAAAACAACCUGUUCGAUAGCUUUCCAGCCUAAAAUUCCAUUUUCUUACAUUGGGUUAAAAAAAUAAAACUAAAAUAAACAAACACCAAAUUUCACACAGGGAGCUAGUAACCAGCUUCCUAAACAUGAAUCUAUUUUACAAUUAGUGGAACAAUAAGAAAUAUGCCAGUUACUUGGUCCAUUGCAGAGCAGAACUCCUCACGAACCUAGUAAUAGUUUUUAUUUGGAUUCAAUACAUUUACCAGAGACUUACAUUUACUAACAGGAUUUUACCUACACCUUCUCCCAAUUACCUCCUCCUAGAAUUAGGGAGUAUGGAAAACUUCACUGCAAUUAAAUAACCAUUUAAUACCCCAUGAUAUCAAAGGGGCACAGAAACAAAAUCCCACCAAUAGAUGGUUAAUGAAAUGUUCCGUUAGUUCAAGGAUUCAAUGGCUCCACUGCUACCAAAAAUUGCAAGUGAAGUAAUUCAUAAAGGGAAAACUCUAAAUAAAGGGACUUUUAAUGAAGGAAAGGAGGAUUUAUUCAACUACACCAUUAAUCUGUGAGUUGAAUUAAGAGCAUUUUAUCAUACUUUAUUGUUUGAAAUUAAUAUUAAAGCCCUUUAAUCUGAUUCACGCGUCAGAGGUUUCUUGCUGGCAAUAAUGCCAGGCCCCCGACAGUUUCUCCAUUACAAAACGAGAUCAGAUUCAUCAAUGGAUAGACGGCAAUUAACAUCGAUUAACAGAGUACCACUUUCCCACAAAUAUAAAUCUGCUUGUUGAAGUCAAAAUUUGAUAUCAACAUCUCUUGCCUUCCCUGUAAUAUUUUAUUGUAUCUCAAGGCUUAAGUUUCCGUUCACAAGGCUAAUUUGUCAUGUAAUAAAGAUGAUAAAAUCAAUCCUCAACUUACUAGUUGGACAUGCAUUAGUAGAAUCAAUGAAUCCAGAGUUCCUAUAAAACUACUAAUUUCCUAUAAAACUAGUUUCUAAACUUUUGAGAGAAGUGUGUCUGGGGAAUUUAUCUUUCCUGUAGAGUGUGAGAGUACUGGGUAUAUUUGGGUUUCUGGGAAGUAAGAUUCGUUACUCAAAUAUUUGUACUUUAUUUGUACUAAAUAAACAAUUAUUCUUUCUUGCCUCCGUGGAUGUAGGUUUAAUUACCGAACCUCGUUAAAUUCUUAUGUCCUUUAUUUUUCUAUAAUUAUUUGGUGCGCUUGAUUCCGCAUUCCGCGCACAACAAGUGGUAUCAGAGCCGAUGGUUCGUACUUGGGGGGAUACGAUAGUGUUCACGUAUACGGUACUAUUCCUGUAUACGGUACUGUUUACGAAUACGGUGGAGACGGCCAUUUGUACUUGGGAGACAAUCUAUUGUAAGUAGUGUGUAUUUUUACAUGUCUAGGAAAGUUCUAAGAGCCUAAGGAUUCUGGUUUUUAAUUGGGACUGAGUUCCCGUCCAGUUUCUUGGGAACUUUCCUAGUGCAUUUAUUCACGCGAAAUUAACAUCAUAGAGGUUAUUUUUCAAGUGAAAAUAGUUCGUUAAAAAAAUGGUAGAAGGUGAAACUUCCAGAAUUAGGGAGAGAUCUACCGAGACUAUUUCAGGAGACACUUCAGGUGGGAGGCGAGAUUUGUCAAAUCGCUAUUCAGUACCUAUUAUAGGAGACCAGAAGAUCGAUGUUGAAAAGUUUGAUGGGAAAAUCAACUUCGGCAUGUGGACUGCACGUGACAAGCACACACUCAACUUAUUCAAAUGUUACUGACAAAAUAAUAUUGUCAUACGGGCUUAUAAGUUUUUAAGUCGACAUGUCGUAUUUUAGCACAGCUUUAAACUGACAUAACAUCUUAUCUUCUGGAAACUAGUUUCAAAGCUCACACCUCAACGAACUUCAGUAGCAUGGUUCCCAAAUGUUUGGGCAACUUCUGUGAUACGUUGCCAGUGUUAGAACUGCAAGCUAACAACUUUCAUGGAAUCAUUCCUAAAACCUUCGUGAACGGAACAAAUCUGAGAAUGAUUGAUUUUGACAACAAUUCAUUGCAAGGAAGAGUACCUAAAUCCCUAGCCAAUUGUGUGAAGCUAAAAUCUUUUAAUCAUGCGGAUAACCAAAUAACUGAUGUAUUCCCUUCUUGGUUGGGAACUUGGGAACUCUACCAGAGGUAGAGGUUCUCAUUUUGAAAUUCAACAACUUUCAUGGAGAAAUAGAGGAACCUCAAACAGGUUUUGAGUUUCCCAAGCAUCGCAUCAUUGAUCUCUCUCAUAAUAGCUUUGCAGGUAAUCUUCCAUCAAAGCACUUCUACUGUUGAAAUGCCAUGAAAGAUAUCAAAGCAAGUAAGCUAACAUAUUUGCA